GAGAGAGAGAGAAGGGUGUGGGGCUAUGUAGGCAUGGAGAUGGAGGAGAGGGCAGGGUCACUUACCCUUAAACCGAAGGGCAGUCUUCAGGUCACAGGUGUCCUCCUCCUUAGCCCUUCGGUGUCUGUGCUCAGACAGGUGUACCCCAAUUGUUAUACUCUGUUUUCUGUCAUGUACCCCCUACUAUUUUUUUUUUUUAUAAUAAAUAUGUAUUUUGAUUUUUGAAUCUGUAAAUUUCAAUCUAGUUAUUGAAAGUUCCAAGAUUUUUAUUUAGACUACCAAGAAUUUAUUAUAUAUGGAAAAAUUAUAUUUGUGUAAUUAAGUUCAUGCAUAGUUUAUCAUUGAUCAUAGUGAUAUUAAUGAAUAAAAGUGUUUCUUUGGAUAAUCAUACAUAAUAAUAUAACCAAAACUCUAAACCGGUUUUUAAUCUGAUAAACUAAUAUUAAAGGAAUCAAUCUGAAAUCAAAUCAUAAAAUUUAAAAAUUAGUUUAUAAUAAAUUAUGUAACAAAGCUUAGUUAUAAUAUUGUAUAUAUAAAAGAUUAAAUAAUUUUUUAAAUUAUUAGAAACAAAGCAUCAAUGAUGUAGUCUUUUAUGAAUUAAAAUGUCAUUAAUUUUUUAAUCAUUUAAUUUCACUUUCUGGGAUCCAAUUUUUUAAAAAAAGAACAAAACAAAAAUGAGAUUAUAUUUUUUUUUAAAGAGAUCAUCUUUUAAUUUAUAUGAUUUUGUUUGACUGAUUUUGAAAGUUCUAUACUCGGAAUCAAAUUUAAACAACAAAUGAAAUGAAUUAAUUUGUACCAAAACAACAGUAUGUUUUAUAGGCUGAAACUGUACACUUUUUAUUCCAAAAGAAAAAGAAUUGUUAAAGCCUGCACAUGAGGUUGAAUUAUAGUGGUUGUACUUGCUUGGUGAAGAGCAUCUUUAAUUCAGUACAUUUCAUUCGAAAUAAAUAAAAUUGAGGUCAAUUUUAAUUUAAUAAAAACUCAUGAAACUUAUUUCUAGUAAUUCUUUUAGGAAUUAUUAAAAAUAAAUACUACUAAUUUAGUUUGGGUUAGAUAUUUACUUUAUAUAUACUUACAUUAAAUAUCAUUUGAAAUUUCUCAUUUGUAUUAUUAUUAAACUAAAUUUUACUGUAUUUUACCAAAUUUUCAGUAGAAAUAAUUAUUUUAACUAUUCAAAUUGUAAUAAUAAAUUAUUUAAAUAACGUUAUAGGACUAUUUUCAAGUUAAAAUAAAUAAUAUUAAAGAAUUAAAUAGACAUGAAUAAAUAAAACAUAAUAAUUUGAAAUAAUUGAAAUAUAUUUUUAUCAAUUAUAAAAAAUAAUGUAUAUAAAACAAAAAAAAAUGGUAGGUUGAGUUGACAGAGUCAUUUAUCGUAUUGGUACAUGAUAUAAUAAUUGAUAAAUAGGAGACAAUGCAUCACUCGUUGUAAUAAUUCAAAUUUACUAUACAUGAGCUGAGCUGUGGUUGACCUAUCAUGUUAUGAAACUGUCAUCUAUCAAAUAACUGCAAAUAUUAAAUCUUAUAUUCGAAAAAUUAGAUUUUUCACAUGAAAAAAUAUGUUGAGAGAUAUUUUAUUAUCUAAAAAUAUAAUCAUAAAAAAUUAUAUAACAUAGUGUAUGAUUAAUUUGACACAAAAGCUACUUUCCAAAUUAUGUUUCAUAAUUUUAAAAUUGUUUGUAAGAUUACAUAAAUAGUUAAAAGAAUAUAUAUUAAAAAAUAAUUAAGAAUCUUUUAUUGGUGUUCAAUGUUGGAAGUCCUCCAUUAAAAUAAGAUCAAUUCUUAAGUGGAUGUAAACCACAUCUAAUUUUAUGAGAUUGAGUUAGACUUAAAAUAUAGGGUUAAAUAUGUUUUUCAUCCCCCAAUUAUUGGCCGUUUUUGUGUUUAGUCCCUCUUUUAAACUAUAGUACAAUUUAGUCCUUCAACUUUAGAAAACUCUGGUUUUAGUUCUUUUUACCAAUUUUUUUUAACUUUAUUUUCUAUUUCAAACACAUUUCUCAGUUAACAUUGAAGCAAAAAUGUGUCAAACAGUGUAAACAAUCCAAAUACUAUAAUGUAACGUGCUUGAAACAGCAAGUAAAGUUAAAAAAAUUUGGUAAAAAGGACUAAAACCAGAAUUUUCUAAAGUUGAAGGACUAAAUUGUACUAUAGUUUGAAAGAGGGACUAAACACAAAAACGGCCAAUAGUUGGGGGACGAAAAACAUAUUUAACCCUAAAAUAUGUUGUAAGUUAUAACUUAUUCAUAAAUUAGAUCUAAUGGUUAAAUUCUAAUUCCAAAAAAUAAUAACUAAUGUUUUUAGGUAGAAAAGCUUUGAAAUGGUAGUGGUGAUAAAUAUACUAUUGUUGAAAUAUGUUUCAAUUUAAAAUAUGUUUCAAUAAUAAAUAAAUUAUUAUUUAAAAAUUACUUUUACUGUAAAAAUGUCGGAUUUUAACUGUGAAAGAAUCCAAUUUUGGAAACGUAGAAUAAUCAUCAUCUUCUUCCUCACAAUUAGCAUUGCAAGGACAAGUCAUCCUUUUCAUAAAUUUCACACUUGAUGAAUGAUGGAGGUCUCUAGCUCACAAAGUCUUAUAAGGUGCCAUUUUUAUGCUAGUGUAACAUGUUGAUGUGUUAUACCAGACCUAGUAACAAAGAAACAUUUGGAAAAAGCAUCACUUGAUCUAUUCUAAUGAUAACAAUGUCUAAAUUUUGCAAUACCUUCUAUUGUACCAAUAUGGUUUAAUUAUUUUAAAAAUCCUCUUCUUCUUCUUUUUUAAGUCGUUGAUCGAUUUCUUAAUUUUUUUUUAUCUUUAGUUUCUAAUUUUAAAAAAAAUGAUAAAAUGUUAUUCUUACUAUUAAAUUGUCUGACCAAUAUAAAAAAAAAGUGAUGUAAUACAUUUUUGUAGACUUUUUAAUUGAUAUGAUUUAGUGAAUAGACUAUUAAUGUGAAAUUUUGUUUUUUUUAAAUAAAAAAUUGAGAAAAACACAUUGAAUCUUCAAUCUUCGUCUUCGAUCUUCAUCUUUUUUGUGAGUCACCAUUAAAUAUAUGCAAAACUAUGGUCCUCUAAGUCUUCUCUUGUAUCUUAUGAGUUUUGAAAAUAUCCAAAAAAUUGGAAAAUCUCAAUUUAUGUGCAAAAAUCCUAAAAUCGAAAAUCUUCAAUUUCUUUCUAUUUGUUUUAUAAUGAUGGAGUAAACCAACUUAGGUGCACAGUUUCUUCUCUUGCAAUUACGUAGAGAACCCUAUGACUUACAACGGUAGGAUGUGCUCACGAUGUUGAGAAUUGUUACCACAUGAGGCACACAUGCUCGUCUUGGUGGUUCGCAUCCUUGUCGUAAUGGUUAGCAUUUGCAUUCAAUAUGGUAUAUUGAACGUUUUUGGUUUUCACGACUAGAGGCUUGUGGAUCUUUGAGUGGCGAGGUUGCUACUGGUGAUCAUUGUUGGGAAACAAGUAGGCUUCGUUUUAACACGUGGGUUUUCAAAAUCAGAGUCUUUUCGCAAUCUUUGAUUCAAAGUAGAAAACUUUACAAACUUUAUUGAAUCGCAAGUUAAAGAAAAUUUAGUGCAGCAGAAAUUCAAAGUAGACUAUGCAAAUAGUAAAGUCGACUGAAUGUAAAAGUAUAGGGAUAGAGAAUUCAAGCGCAGGUUUUUAAACUGGUUUGGCCUCAGUGCCUACAUCCAAUGUCCUUCCAAUACCAGGAAGCAAAUGCACUAUAAUGGUUAAGGUUUUUACAACAAGGCUUUUAUAGAAGACUUCCACGUCAAAAAUAUAAAACACCUCUCUAACCCUCUAACCAAAAUAUAGGCAAACCACACAGCAAGACUUGCAGCAAGAUAUCCCCUCUCCUGCAAUCUACAACCCACUUUGAACAAUCCUCAAAGUGUACCAGACUCCACGAGUCCAACCCCUAUAGUCACAACAGGUAACAACAAUCACCACGAAUGCCAACAACAAUCUUGAUUAACCCAUAAACACCUCAAUUGUGCAGAUUCUGAUCAAGCAGUAAGCGCAACACAGUCAUCCUUCAGAAACUCCUCCAAGCAAGAUCACAGUCGUCUUCUUGAUGAGUUCUUGGAGUUCUAAAUCUCAAAGAAUCAAUCCGAAACAGAAUAUGAAAUUGUUGGUUCAUCAAAAGUCUCUGAAAACAAUCAGGUCUCGUCUAUUUAUAGAUUUCUAUAAAUCAGGAGCUCCUGUAGUCGAUUAUGCUACUAAUAAAGUCGACUAUAUUAUAACAGUUAUAACAGUUAAAACACAAUAGCAGCAAUUCAGUCAAACCAAUUAAUUUCUCAAUCAAUACAUUUGAUCAACAUUCAAUGCUCAACUAACUUUUAAAAAUAUAGUCGUUAUUGUUCAUGAGUAUAACAAAAUUUCAAAUCAAGCAACUAAUACAGUCGACUUCGACACAAAAGUUCACUUUGAAAUUCUUUUCAAUGAAAAAUCUCACAUAGCACUGUUUCUGAAAGUCUGUGCAUAGUCACGAGCUUAAAUCGACUUCCCCCAUAAUGAAGUCGACUUACAGCUUGCAAUAAUGCAACACAAUGUAAGUUCAUAAAUGUGCAUGUGGUUUUCUUCUUUCAAAUCAUGUGUAAUGCAAUCAGAUAUUGUGCAACAUAUACAAGCUCAGUAAAUGUGCAUUCACAUAUCAAGAUAAUCACCAUAAACAUGUUCAACAAUAUAUCAAUUAAUAAGUAAUAGAACAUGUAACACAUCAAUCAACAUAUGUGUUAUUAAAAAUGUGUUGUCAUCAUAAAAAAACAAGAGUGAUAUAGAUAUUGUGUUGUCAACAAUCAUAUCUAGUAUGUGGUGGAUUCAAUGUCGUUUUUCAUAUUUUCGUGAUGGUUUGACACCAGCAAGAGUGAGGUUGAUGGAGGCGAGGUUCUGUAGUGGAUUUUCGAAUUAGGGCUCACGGUGGUGCAAUGGAGUAGUUCUUGGUUGCUCGUUCUUGUAGGUUGAUCAUGGCUUUACACGGGUAGUGCAAAUGGGUUGUGCGAUGAAGGAGGCGCAACUACUCGUGGUGGUCUCUACAUCAAUGGGUGGUCUUCUAUUGGUAGUUGCUGCAAAUUUGUGACAAAGUGCGGUGGUUCAUUCAUCUGUGUGUAAAGGAUGAAGGAGCGUAAUGAAUUCGCAGUUUGGGGCUCGCAGUGUAGAUUGAACAACGCUAGCACACUUGUACGUGGAGGUCAUUGGUGGUUGAAGACAUGGUUCGAUGACAAUAUCACAGUGCUUUGGUGGCUAGGGUUUCUAGUUUGAGGUUAAAGAUGAUGACCUGGUAGGAUUUAAUUGAUUUGAUUCCACAUCAUUAACCUAUUCACUAAGUCACACCACUAUUUUUUAACAUUGUUAAGUCAAUUUAACGGCAAGGACCACAUUGCUUCACUUUAUCAAACUUAGGAACCUAAUUCAGACAAAAAAAAAAUGAAAGACCGAUAUGCGACUUCUAACAAAAAACAAAGACCUCUAAAAUGAUUAAAUCCAACAAAUUUCUCGUAUGUAAGCUCAUUAUUGCUACAUAUUGGAAACAUUUUCGUAGGUAACUAGUAUGUGUGAUGUUUUUUGUGCUUAAAGACAACACCAAUGACAAUACUUGAAGCAUUUUUUUCAAUUUCAAUGAGAAUUCAAAAUUAGGUAUGACUAAACAAGGUUCUAAUGUAAUGACUUAUUUUAGUUUCAUAGAAACUUUUUCAAUCUUUAAAAGGAUAGUUUAAAAGUCUUUUUUUAACAAACAUGUGAAUGAUGUUAUAAUCGAAGCAUAACCUUUAGUAAAUUUUCUAUAGUAUCUAAUAAGACCUAGAAAUAUUUUUCAAUUGUUUGAUAUUUUUAGUUGUUGUCAUUCUAACACCAUUUUCACCUUGUUUUUGUCCAUCUGAACACCAUCAUUAAUAAUGGUAUUACCCAAAUGGUUUAUCACAUUAGUUCCAAAUGAACAUUUGAUAAGUUUAACAUACAACCUUUCUUUUUCUAACACUUGAACUACUAUUUUUAAAUGAUGUAAAUGGGUAUAGUAAGAAUAAUUGAAAAUCAAAAUGUCAUCCAAAAAUAUUAACAUAAAUUUCCUCAAUAAAAAUUGAAACUCAUCAUUCAUUAUACCUUAAAAGGUGGUUAAUGCAUUUGUUAAAUCAAAGGGAAGUCACAAACCAUUCAAAAUGUCCUUGAAAUAUCCUAAGUGAUGUUUUGUGCCAAUUAUCUAACCUUAUUAGGAUUUGGUGGUAGUUAAAUCUUAAACUUAACUUUUAUGUUUUAUUUUGUUUCUGGAUAUUUAUAGUUUGAGACAGUCGGAGAAGAUGGAUGAGAAUGGACAAAACACGUUUGAUUCACUACGACAAGAAAGAGAUUUGACACCAGUUAUUUUUAGGGUUCUACUUCGGUUCUACAACCAAAGCAUAUCAAGUGAGGUAAAAAAAAUGAAGGUUUUAACUUCAAUUUUAAAAACCAUUAUAAUGAUAUAAUUGUUGAAAAAGGUGUUUGCUUUAAACAAUGGAAUACACAAUGAGCAAUAUUUGAGCAAUGGAAGAAGAAGGUGAGAACAAUGGACCAAGGUGCUACCUUGAUGAACCAAUGAUAAAGAUCAAAACGUGUCAUUAUGUGUCUCCUCAUUAAAAAAAAUAUUAAAACCUACCAAAACAAAUGUGAGAAAAAGGAAAACAAACUUUAAACAACAAGAGAUGGUAUGAGGUGACUAGGAAUAAAAAUGGAGAGAAGAGAACGCGAUGCUUCGCAAGGAAAGAAAACGAAAACAAAAUGUUUCAUAAUAAAGAAUGGUUUCUCGUAAAAUGAAAACCAACAAUAAAAAAAAAGAAAGUGUGGGUUUUUGGAUUGCAAUGGAAACUACAAUAGAGCAAUGUUGUGACAAGAAGGUAACUUUUCUAAAAAAUCUAACCCUAAAAAAAAUAAGUUUCAAUUAAAGAACCAAAAUCUCGUAUAUAGUACAAAUAAUUUAAAAAGUGUUAUCUCAUCUCAAAAGAUUUUAUUUUUCUUCAAAACAAAACAUAUACGACAAAGUUAAAUCAUUCUUUUCACUAGUGUUUAUUAAAAUUAUAGGUAAUUUGCACAAAUAAAUUUAAAGAAAAAAGAAAUAUUCUCAUCAUAAACAAAGAGAUAAGAGGGAAAAAGUACUCCAACACCUAUAUUUUUACUUAAAUGCUCAUAUAUUUUUUAAAUUCCAAUAAUAAUAAUAUUAAUGGUGAAGUUAAAAUAAUAAUAAUAAAAAUUAUAUUAAUAAUAAUAAUUAAAAUUUAUUUUGUACUAAUCUUAACCAUAACGGUAAAAUUAUGAUCUAAAAUUUUUAUUCAUUAAAUAUUCUCUUUUAUUCGUCACAUCUAUCCAUCGUAUCAUUCAUAAAUUUUAUUUUAACUUUUUUUUUUUACUUUUAUCUCAUCUCUUGAAACAAACCUUAUCUUCUCUUUUUUACCUUCUCAAAUUUAUCCACCCACCUCGUAUCCUCGUAUCCACAUGGAAACAAAAUAUAUAACAAUAUAACUCAUGUAAAAAAUAUAUUUAUAACAAAACAUCCUUCACAAUCAUAACAUAAUAUUACUAUUAUAAAGAGAGGAUAAUAAAAAAAUAUUAUUAUUAAGGAUUUUAAAUUUAAAAUUAAAAUACAGAAAAAAAAAGUCUGCACAUCCUGUAUCACACAGGUUUCUAAUUUCUGUCUCAAGUAAACAGUAUAAAUAAACAAAAUAUUAUUUAGUUUGCAGUGUUUCAGGGCCGAUGCACAUGAGUGGCAACAGAGAUGUAAUCAUUUUGAGAGCAACAACUCAACGUUUCAUUCAACAUAAUGAUUUACUUUACAGUUUUUCUGCUUAAUUUAUUAUAAUUAUAAUUAAUGUAUUACUAAAUAAUGUUACAUGAAUUUCACAGUUUUUCUCUCCUUUCUCUUUAACCUUGUUAUUAUUGUUUUCUCACAGUUUCUCGGUUUCAUACAAGCUGCUCUCUCUCCGAUCACUCUUAUAUGCUUUCUUUGCUCAAGAAUAAAAUUACUAGAAAAAGAAUAAAAAAUAAGUAAAAAAAUUGUAAUUAGUUUGAUAAAAAAAUAAAAAUAUAUUUUCAUACUAAUAUAUCUAUAAAACAAUUUGAUGAAAAAAAUAGUUUUUAAAAUAUAAAUUAAUUUAAAUUAAUUUUUUAAAUUAAAAUAAAAAAUCAUCUUAAAUUAAAUAAAUUAAAAAUUAAAUGAAAAAGGAGCUUGUGAACUUGUAAAAGGAAUUGUUCAUUCUUAGUAUGUUUAAGUGGUGGAGUAUACUUACAGAGUCAAUUUGUUCAUCUUUUAUUGUGUUAAAAUGAAGUGUCUUUUUAUUAAGAGAGAUGAUUUCUAAUCUCAAUCUUUAUUAUUGUAAAGGUUUAAUAGGUUUGGAGGUCCCUAUAUUUGGAGGUUUGUUUCAAUUGAAGUGAUCAAUUAGGUCCCUAAUUUUGUUAAUUUGAAUCAAUAAAAGCCUUUCCGUUAAAUGCAGUUAACGUUGUGAAGUUUUUGAACAUGUGGCACGCUGACGCUUCCAGGUGGCAUCGUUUCAAGUGCAUAGGUGAAAUCCCUAAAAGGGAUUUCACCCUUUUAUAAUCCACCUAUGCACUUGAAACGGUGCCACCUGGAAGCGUCAGCGUGCCACAUGUUCAAAAACUUCACGGCGUUAACUGCAUUUAACGGAAAGACUUUUAUUGAUUCAAAUUGACAAAAUUAGGGACAUAAUUAAUCACUUUCAAAAUUGGAGGAUCCAAUUGAAACAAGCCCCCAAAUAUAGGGACCUCUGAACCUAUUAAACCUAUUGUAAAUUAUUACUUACUUUAGUGGAUAGGUUAAUCACUCUUGUUGAGAGAUUACCUGUGUUAUUUUUCUUUUUCGUUCUCUCCUUUGUUUAUUUGCUUUUUAUUCAAAUUAAUUUUCAGAUUUAUUAAAGAAUUUUUUAAAAACAAAAAUAUGUUAAAGAGAAGCAAUUUUUAACUAGAACCAAUUUACCCUCUCUUGAUUUUUGUCUUGCGAUUAAACAUUCCGCCACGUGUUUUUUACAAAGAUGAUAAAAGAACAUAUCCGUGUGAGUAUUAUUCGAACCUAUCCCAAAUUUAACGAAGAAUUUUCACAAUGUGUGGGUAUCAGUAAUACCUAAUAUUUUAAAUUAGAUAUGAGGAUGAGGAUGAAUAUGAAUAUGUACAUAUUUGUCAUGUCUCUAGUCCUAUUUUAAAUUACUAAAACACUUUUAAUUUAUUAGGUCUAAAACAUUUAUUGUGAACUUUUAUUUGAUCCUUAGUUUGGUAACUCAAUUAUAAAUUUUACCGUUUUUACUAUUUUCUAUAAUCGUUUAAGCCUUAUCCAAUUAUUAUUUGAUAUUCCAAAUAUUAUAAUUUCUUUCUUUUUAUUUGACAUUGAAGAAAAAUUGUGUAUCUUUUUUAUAUUUAAUAUUUGAUAAUAUGAUAUAUUUUUUUGUUGUGAUUUUUAUUUUUUAUAAUAAAAAGGUAAUUAAUAUUUGAAAUAGUAAAGGAGUGGGUACGAAUUAGGUAAGGGUACACCAAUUUUUUUAUGGGAAUGGGGACAAAAAUUUCAUACUCGGGUGUUGGGACGAGGAUAAGGGUGAAUGUUUACUUUAAAAUGAAGAUGAUAUAGUCAAAAUUGCACUCAUCCUGUCUUUUUGUCAUUUCUAAAACCUAUCAAGAAGGCUACCCAAGUCACACAUUCCUGAUGUAAGAUGAUUCAUUCUAUGUGAAUGUUGUCAAGAAGGUUACCAAAGCCACACCUCCUAGAUGCAUGAUAACUCACUCCAUGUGAACUUUAUCAAAAAGAUUAUCAAAGUGACACCUUACCGAUGCAAGAUGAUGCACUCCAUGUGAACUCUACUAAGAAAGCUCCCAAAACAACAACUUCUUGGUGUAAGAUGAUUCACCUUAUGUGAACCCUACAAAGAAGGCUCCCAAAGCAACACACCUUCUUCAUGUUUGAUCAUUUGCUCCAUGUGAAUUAUAUUGAGAAUGCUACCAAAGUUAGACCUUCUCGAUGUAAGAUGAUUCACUUCAUGUGAAUUCUACUAAGAAAGUUACAUAAGUCACACCUCAAUAUAGGAUGAUUCAUUCCAUGUGAACCUGUUGAGAAUGUUACAAAAGUCACACCUUCUUGGUGAAAGACAAUUCACUCCACGUGAAUCCUACCGAAAGGGAUACCAAAGUGAUACAUACUCGGUGCAGGACGAUUAAUACAUGUGAACCCUAGCAAGAAGCUUCCAAAACAAAACUUUCUCAAGAUGAUGCACUCCGUGUGAACUUUGCUAAGAAGGCUAUCAAAGUCGCACCUUCUUGAUGCAAGAUGAUUUACUCAAUGUGAACUUUGCCAAUAAAGUUAUAAGUCACUCCUUUCUAGUGUAAGAUGAUUCACUUAAUGUGAACCUUUUGAAAAGACUUCUAAAGCAACACACCUUCUUGACAUAAGAUUAUUCAUGUCGUGUGAACUUUAUCAAUAUGAUUAUGGAAAAAUAAUAUAUAGACGUAAGAUGACUUACUCCAUAUGAACUUACCAAAAAAAUAUAAUGAAGCAACAUCUCAUUACAAGAUGUCAUAAGUAUUUAUACAUAACUAUCAACUUUAAUAAUAAAAAGUAUAAAAAGUUAACUAAUAUUUUUAUCAUAAUAUACUUUAAUUCACUAUCGUUCGUCUAUUUUAAUACACUUAUAAAUUAUUUUAACUUUUUAGUUCUUGAAAUAAUUGUUUUGUUUUUUACUUUCUUAUUAUUUGAAAAAAAAAUCAUUAAAAAUGACAUUGGAAACCCAAUGCCUUAUUUUAGCACUGUAUUUAUCUUUAAACAAGACUAAAAUAUAUUCAUCUUACCGAAAAAUAUCAAAUAAGAUAAAAAUUACUAGUGGUUAAAAAACAAAUAUAAAUAAAAAAUAUUAAAUUAAUCAUUAUGUACUUUAACAUAAAAGUAUCUUUAAACACCCAAUAUCAAAACCAAGACUUUGAAAUUGAAACCAAGCAGAGUUGUAAAAUCGAGAACCAAAAUCUUCUAUAUGCAAAAGUUAACCAAAAAAUAAAAUGUAAAACUCCAGAAAAUGGUAUUUUAAAUAGUGGUGGUAAUCUAAAAGUAGUGAGACUCGAUUAUUUUAAUAUUAAACGGUUUUAUUAUAAAUAUUUUUGUUAUAAACGAGUUUUAUUAUUUUAAAACGUAUCAUCUCUUUAGAAACCACUUUUCUAGAGUUCUCUAUCUUCUCUCUAAGAGUUCUAACUCCUGAGUCAUCUAUUUGACGAUCAAGAGGUACCUAAUCAACCACAAUAACGAGGUCUACGUUUCUACCCGAUCAGUUUCUUCAAUAGAGCAAGUAAGUUUUGACUCAUUUUUCCCCUUUCGUUCAUAAAUUUGUUUUAGAGGAAUUUAAUAUUGUUGCAUGUGUAAUCAUGCCUCUCUUACUCAUUCUUCGUUCAUCUAGAUUUCUAAGGACUCUGUCCGUUUGUAAUUUGGUGUUUCGUAGGUUCAUCUAGGUAUUCCUUGCAGUUCAAGUAAUAGGUGGAACAUUUUUAGAGUUAGGCAGUUUCUUUGAGAGGUAAAGGAAGCUAGAAUUCUUGCUUUAGUAUAUUUAUAUUAAUAAUUUGGUAUUUCUGUGAAUAGUUGUUGAUUUUGAAGAAAUUACUAUGAUUAGGUGUUUUAUAAGUUGUUGAUUGUCAAUUUGGAUGGUAUGAUGUUGAGUAUAACUGAAAUUGUGUGAUCUUAAGGUGUUAUAUUGUUAUUAAGGUGUUUGAUGAAGUUGUGAUGUUAUUAGAAAUUGAAUUCAAAGUGGUUGUGAUGAAAAAUGGUUACAUGUUUAUUUUUAAGUUUAAAAAGGAGAGGUUUACAUGAGUGAGGUUGAGAAAUAGAGGCUUUUGAGAGUGAACCAUUGUUUAGGUACUGUCAUGAGGUAGAUUGGGAUUUGUUGGAUAUACAUUGCGCAUUAGAAUCUUAGCUAUAGUGAAUGUGAAGUUUAUAGUUGAAGUUUAGUAGUGUUUUGAAGGAAAAGAUGGGGUUUUAUGUAGUGAAAUUGUGAGAGAAGGAUUAUAAACUGGUUUGAGGCAUUUAGGGUCUAUUAUGAGAUGUUUUGUGACUUGUCUAAGCAUUGAAAUGGAGGAAAUCUGAUGUAAGAGUGUUUGGUGGUUGAUAGGUACAGUCUAGCUUGAUUUAUAACUAGUUUUUGGGGGUUUGGACUAGUGAGAAUUUGAAUUAUGGGUUCUAUGCUUAAAUGGUCUUUUUGGAGGGUGUUAGUAAGUCAUUUGAGACUUGUUGGAGUCCUUAAGUUGUUUGAAAAUAAGUCAUAAUUGGUGGAAUUCAAUUUGGGUCUCUAAAGUGAGGUUUUGAUAAAUUUUAGUUCGAAAUCAUGUGUUCAAUGAGUUUAGAAUGUGUUUAGGUUGGUUUAGAAACAUUUAUUUAGGUAUAUUUGAGUAUAGAAUACAAUGUAGGAGGUUUAGAAGUUGGAAAAUAUGCAUAGGAUAGGUAAUGAGGGGUUGAUGGGUGCAAAUUCUUUAGAAUUUAUGCUACAAAAUUAUGUAGUCUCGCUAAGGAAACAGACUUGGUGCGUUGAGCGAAUGGGCUUUAGCUGAGCGAACAGACUUGGUGCGCUGAGCGAGAGGUGAGUGAGCAGAACCCACUGUUUUUGUUUUCGCACAACGAGCUUGGUGCGUUGAGCGACUAGUCUAGAACCUGUUUUGAGUAUUUCUUUAUUUGCUUUAUGAUAACUUUAAGAUAUGUUUUGACUUUGAGGAUGGUGUAGAAAUAUCUAUAGUACUCUAUGAUGGUUUAUUCUUGAAGUUAUGUAUGUAUUUGAUGUAUGAUUAAAGAUAAUAUAUGUUGCUAUUCAUUGUGAAAGUAAAGUGACAUAUGUGCAUGGUUUCAAAGGUGUUCAAAGUUGUGAAAGUAAGUUCCAAGGUGGAACCUCCUAGUGAGGUUGAAGUAUGUUUAGAAUGAAUGCAUGAGCUUAGUCUUGGGGCUAUCCUGAAACUCCAAUGGUCUUUCAUUCUUAAGUAAAGAGGAUUGAUUCAUGUCAUGAGGAGUAGUAGGAGGUCUUAGUCUUGGGGGCUUCCAAUAUGUUCCAAGGCGUGGAACAGACUAACCUUGUGAGUGUGGUAGGGUGAAACCCACUGACAAUGACUUUGCAAAGUAAUAGAAGCCACCACAAGUGCAUAACCCGCCAUAGUUCAACAAUCAUUCUAAGUCCAGAUAGUCCAUUCAUAAUAAGUGUCCUGCAUAAAGUGUUUGAUGACUGUGUAGUGAUAUGUUUGUUGUAUGUAACAUGUUUUAAAUGAGUUAUAUAUAUAUAUAUAUAUAUAUAUAUAUAUAUAUAUAUAUAUAUAUAUAUAUAUAUAUAUAUAUAUAUAUAUAUAUAUAUAUAUAUCCUUGCUUUUCUGUUGUUUGUCUUUGCAUGUUGUUUCUCUUUUGCGAUAAUCACCUAAUGGUAUGAGUUUAGAUAUACAAUCUUUUCAGUUGUUCCAUCUAGAGAUGAGGAAGAAGCAUAUGAGUUGUUAGAUAGAUUUACAUAAAUAAAGGUUUAAUAGGUUCAGAGGUCCCUAUAUUUGUGGGUUCGUUCCAAUUGGGUCCUCCAAUUUUGGAACUGAUCAAUUGGGUCCCUCAUUUGCCAAAUUUCAUUCAAUUAUAGCAUUUCCAUUAAAUGCAGUUAACGACGUUAACUUUUUAAACAGGUGGCAUGUUGAGGCAUCCAAGUGGCACCGUUUGAGCUGUAUAGCUGGAUUUUUAACAUUUUUAAUCGUUAAAUAUAUUAAUAAAUGAAAAUAUAAUUAGAAAUUAUUAAACAUAUUAAGGGUCGCUCACCCCUUCGUCUUCAACCCCACCAAGCUCAACGCAUCGUAGUGGAUAAGGGUCGCUAAAGAUUCUGGUUUUUCCAUGGUAAUCCUCACUGCAAAACACCACGAUGGGUUCUGCUUCUGGCCCUCGGAGGAAGCAGGCAUAUAAAAAUUUCAAACCAGCCUCAGACUUUUCAGAAUGGAUGUUACACUCGUGACUAAGCAAAACAAAUGCUCGUUAAUCUUCAAUACUUCGUAGAGAGGGUAAAUAUCAAAUAUGGUUCUGUGAAACUACUUUCUUUAUAUACCCUUCCACCAGGAACAUCUACAUCAAACCUUUAAAUAGAUUUUGAAAUUAAUUCUUAAAAUGAUUUUUUCACUAAAAAAAAUAUAACGCGUGACAAAUACUAUUUCGUGUGUUCCAGCAACUGGAAGAACGGAAGCAGUGAUGUCCUCACUGAGCUCUCCGCUGCCGCUAAGGAUGCUGGUGUCGGCCUCGGAAAUUAGGGGUCAUAGGUCGUAUCUACGAAAUUGGAGAAAUCAGAGAAGUUAGGGUUCGUUGCUGCAAUAUGUUUAAUAAUUUCUAAUUAUAUUUUUAUUUUUUAAUAUAUUUAACAAUUAAAAAUGUUAAAAGUCCAACUAUACAAUUCAAACAGUGCCACCUGGAUGUCUCGGCAUGUCACCUGUUUAAAAAGUUAAAGUCGUUAACUGUAUCUAACGAAAAGGCUAUAAUUGAAUGAAAUUUAGCAAAUGAGGAACCCAAUUAAUCAGUUCCAAAAUUGGAGGAGUCAAUUGAAACGAACUCACAAAUAUAAAGAUCUCCGAACUUAUUAAACCCAUAAAUAAAUCUCUUCUUUAAAGGAUGUUUGUUUUAACUAAUCAUUCUUUUAACAUUUAUGUAAUAUUUUGAUAAUUUUAUACUAUUAAAAUGAUAUGUGAGAUAUAAUUUACAAUAACACGUAAAUAUAGUAGAUACAUUUGUCUAACAUUACUCUAAAUAAAAAACCUAUUAAUAGAUUAAUAAAGCUGAGUAUAAGAGAUGAAAAAAAAAUGACUUUUGAAAUUACAGCAUGACUUUUAUAAUUAAUGUAAUCAGUGGAACAUGGAAGGACAAUUUCUCCAGGUGAGGGUGGCAGUGUGAUAACAUUUAUUUAGUUUCUGUUUAUCUUUUUCCUCGAUGGGAGAAACGAUGAUUUCUUUGUUGGUGAAGUAAAAAAGUUGGAAGCAGAGAAAAGAGAAGGAAGAAGAAUAAAGGCAGAAGUAUGAAGAUGACAGUGGUAUGAAAAUGGUAUGAUUACUUAAUGCUUGCAGUCGAAGGUCCUCUAGGGUCUAAGUUAUACAUGCAAACCGUUGGAAAGUUUGAGACAUGACAGUGUAUAAAUUAUACAUAAUGAUAAAAAGCUGAAGGCAGUGUUCGUACAUGCAUGGCAUUAUAUAAGUACUCUGAAUCAGAUCUCUAUAACAUGUGAAUACUGAAUGUGCAGAAGACACUAUCCCAUGCAGCUUACAAUGCAAAACCCAGAGACAGAUAAGACUCUUCAGAACCCUAGAUUGACCAUUGGUUGCAGACCCUCUCCUCUUAUCUUUUGUUUCUGCUUUAUAUUAGGGAUGAUAAAAGUCACAUCAAGGUAUCUGAAAAAGCAAUAUGAUUAAGUCCAGGAAUAAUAUUAAAUAAGUCAAAUUAUUUAAAUAGUAAAUUAUACUUUUUUGAUAUUUUAUUCAAUUCAAAGAUCAACUUUUAAUAGUUAUAAGUUUUAUAUAUGUUUUAAAAAUUUUACUUUUGGUAGAAUUUUUUAUUGAAAUAUAUAAAAUUAUAAUUUAUUAUAAAAUUAAUUAGUGAUUUUUCUCAUUAAAAAAUUGAUGUAUUUAUUUUAUUUAUUCAAAAUGAAAAUAGAAAAUUUUAAAAAAUGAUAAGAAUUCACAGUUUAAAACAUUCAUAAGUAGUACUUGAUUAAUUUAAUAAGUUAAAUGUAAAUAUUAAAAUAUUAAAUUCAAAUUAUACAAAAUAAAAUAUAUUAUAUCUGAAUUUUAUGAAUUGAUAUCUAUGCCUGAUUUAUAGAAAGAAAUAGAAAGUAAAAGAUUUAAAAAAGUAAAAGUAAAAAAUUAAAUACUUUUUUAGUCUUGUAUAUUACAUAUUUCAAUUCAGAUUUUAGUUUGAAACAUAAUCUGAUAUAUAAAAGAAAUUAAUGUUAUUGAAUUAAAAUAAUUAUAUUAUUUUUUAAAUUUGAAAAUCAAAAUAUUAUUAGAUUAAAAUAGUUAUAUUAGUUUUUUUAAAAUUUAAAAAUUAAAAUAUAUCAAGUUUAGAACAAUUUGGUACAAAUAUGUUUAUCCUUAUAAGUAAAAUUAAAUAUUACUUUUCAAAAAACACUCUAUCAAUCUUGCAUCUUCCGCCAACAUUAUAUUAUUUAGAUUUUCACUAUACUGUCCAAUUGUAACAAUGAAUAGUGUUGUUCACAAUCUUAUGUACCCAACUUAAUUGCAAGUGGAGAGAGGAGAAAUAAAUUAUUAUUAAUUUCAUAGAUAUUGCACUGAUACAAUCACAUUAAAGUUAUAUUUUCUAAAAUAAUAAUUGUUUGUAACCUAUAAUGCAAAAAGAAAAAAAACCCUAAUAUAAUAUAGGGCUUUUUUUUUUCUUCAAAAUUUUAUAUUAUCCUCUUUAUUUAAUAUAGAAAUAAUAAGUUGACUUAUUUAUAGCUUAAAAUAUUGUGGAAUCAUCUACCUAUGACUUUAUUUAUCUUUUCAGAAUUAUUUUAAUUUUUUUUUAAUAUUUUAACGUUUUAAUUAUUUAUCUAAUUAUACAAAAUGUUUUAAGAGUAUAUCCAUUGAAAUUUUUUUGUAAAAAAUAUAAAUAAAAUUAUUAUUCUAAUAUGAAUUUGUAUAGAAAAUCCUCUAUAAUGCUAAAAGAAUUUAUCUACAAUAUUAUAUUAACAUAAUAAUAAUCCUUGAACUUUUAAUAAAAAAAUAAUUUGUGGGAAAAAACAUGUGAGCGUGGAGGUUCGGAAAUCUGUCCUGUGUAGUUGAAGAACCUGCAGGUGUUCAAAGUUGGAGUAUGGAAUAAAGCAUUAUAUUAACAUUGUGGCUUAAUACCUCCUUUAAUCCUUGUAUUUGUGUAAAAAUCUCAAUUCGGUUUUCAAUUUUUGAACUGUCUCAAUUGGGUCAUAAUUUUUGUAAAAAUGCACACAUUUUACCCCAACCGUUAACUGAUCUCAAACGGCGUUAAGUUUAGAUGACGUGGUAUGCUGAUGUGUUGGCUUAAUCCCUUCUUGGUCCUCGUAUUUGUGUGAAAAUCUCAGUUCGGUCCUCAAGUUUUGAACGGUCUCAAUUGGGUCAUAAUUUUUGUAAAAAUGCACACAUUUUACCUCAAUCGUUAACUGAUCUCAAACAGCGUUAAGUUUAGCUGACGUGGUAGUCAGAGCACAUGCUGACGUGUAUUAUUUAAUUAUAUGAAUUAUUUUUUAAAAUAAGCAGUGUUUCACGUGGCACAAUGCCUAUUAUUUACUUUAUUUGAAUUAGGGAUUUUAUUCAUCUCUCUGAGAAUCUGGGAUUUUACACAUAUUAUCUCGUCGGCUCAAAAAAUAAAGUCACCGGAAAACUUGCGUAACCAGUGCAAUCAGUCUCACAACCUUUUCUACAAAUGAACCAACUUGGUAACCUAUAGGUUCAUCACCAGCCUUUAAGCUAUUUAUUCCACUGAUACUGUUGCACAGUGAGAUCAGUUAGCGGUUGGGGUAAAAUGUGUGCAUUUUUACAAAAAUUAUGACCCAAUUGAGACAGUUCAAAACUUGAGGACCGAACUGAGAUUUUCACACAAAUACGAGGACCAAGAAGGGAUUAAGCCAACACGUCAGCAUACCACAUCAACUAAACUUAACGCUGUUUGAGAUCAGUUAACAGUUGAGGUAAAAUGUGUGCAUUUUUACAAAAAUUAUGACCCAAUUGAGGCAGUUCAAAACUUAAGGACCGAACUAAGAUUUUCACACAAAUACAAGAACCAAGUGAGGUAUUAAACCUAAGAUUGUUUCAUUCUCAUUAAUGGUUUUAACAUCAAGUAGAAGCUUUUAGAAUGACAAAAUUCACUAUUUAAUUUUAUGAUUAUUUAGAGGGAUGACUUUCAUUAAAUUAUUUAAAUAAUUUUUUCAAUUAUUUUUGUUAACUUUUUCUAAAUUUAAAAUUUAUUUAUUAAUUAAUUAAUUUUUAAUAAUUUUAUAGUCAGCAAUUAUAUUACCUAUUUUAUUUAAAAUUAUUUUAGAAAUUGAUAAUAGUAGUAAUAAUAAAUUUAUCGUAUAAUAAACAAUUUUUAUGUAUCUAUUUUGAUAAUGUAUAAACUAUUAUUCUGAUUUUACUUUACAAAAAAUUAAACUAAUAUUUUAUCAAGAUAAUAUAAUUUAACAAAAUGUUAACUUAAAAUUUAUUUUAUAAAUAAUUAAGAGACAAUAUAAUAUAUUUUCUAAAAGUUAAUUGAAUAUCUCGAUAAUAAACUUUCCGAUAUUUUGUUUUUCUAUAAAAUAUUUACAACAAAAAUAUGAUACUGCAUUAAUUUAUUAAAUUUGUAAAUAGUAUAUGUCAAUUUAUCAACUUUAAUAAUAACAUAAAAGAAUAAAAAGUUAACUAAAACGUUUAUCAUAAUAUACUCUAAUUCACUAUCAUUUUACUAUUUGAAUACACCUAUAUAUUAUUUUAACUUUUUUUUUUAAAUUGAAACACACAAAAAUUACAAAAAAAAAAAUGUAGUUUAAAUAAAGUUUUAAACUUUUUCACAAAUGUGACAUCCCUAUUUUAUAACAUACGUGUAUACAAAAAUCAAGACGUCACCAUAGAUGAUAUAAUAAAGCAGUUAGAGUGUUAAGGUACCUAAGUUAGGAUUACAGUAAUCCAGGAAAUUUAGAAGAAAUUUAAAACACGUGGGAAGAUACUAAAGUUUGUCAAAAUACAUCAAAGUUCAAAUAAAAUUUAACAGUUUAAAAAAAAAUCCUAAGGAACUACGCAGCAAUGUUGUGGUUCUCCUCCAAAGCGUUCUCAACGGAGACGUCAUUCUCCUCUACUCACAUCCAAGAAUGGAUGAUCAUCGCAACAGGGAAUCAAACAACAUACAUAAACACAAACAACAAAGGCAAAGGUGAACUAAUUAUAUAAAUUCAUACAAUUGUAUUAAACAUGUAACAUACAAGAACAACUUAUAUCAAACAGAUUCAGAAAUAUCACUUAAGCAUGCAAUUUCUAGACUUGACUCGUCCGGACUUUAAAAUGAGAGUCGGGCUAUGGCGAGUCUUGCACCCGUGGUGACUUAUGAAACUUGGGUUCCNNNNNNNNNNNNNNNNNNNNNNNNNNNNNNNNNNNNNNNNNNNNNNNNNNNNNNNNNNNNNNNNNNNNNNNNNNNNNNNNNNNNNNNNNNNNNNNNNNNNNNNNNNNNNNNNNNNNNNNNNNNNNNNNNNNNNNNNNNNNNNNNNNNNNNNNNNNNNNNNNNNNNNNNNNNNNNNNNNNNNNNNNNNNNNNNNNNNNNNNNNNNNNNNNNNNNNNNNNNNNNNNNNNNNNNNNNNNNNNNNNNNNNNNNNNNNNNNNNNNNNNNNNNNNNNNNNNNNNNNNNNNNNNNNNNNNNNNNNNNNNNNNNNNNNNNNNNNNNNNNNNNNNNNNNNNNNNNNNNNNNNNNNNNNNNNNNNNNNNNNNNNNNNNNNNNNNNNNNNNNNNNNNNNNNNNNNNNNNNNNNNNNNNNNNNNNNNNNNNNNNNNNNNNNNNNNNNNNNNNNNNNNNNNNNNNNNNNNNNNNNNNNNNNNNNNNNNNNNNNNNNNNNNNNNNNNNNNNNNNNNNNNNNNNNNNNNNNNNNNNNNNNNNNNNNNNNNNNNNNNNNNNNNNNNNNNNNNNNNNNNNNNNNNNNNNNNNNNNNNNNNNNNNNNNNNNNNNNNNNNNNNNNNNNNNNNNNNNNNNNNNNNNNNNNNNNNNNNNNNNNNNNNNNNNNNNNNNNNNNNNNNNNNNNNNNNNNNNNNNNNNNNNNNNNNNNNNNNNNNNNNNNNNNNNNNNNNNNNNNNNNNNNNNNNNNNNNNNNNNNNNNNNNNNNNNNNNNNNNNNNNNNNNNNNNNNNNNNNNNNNNNNNNNNNNNNNNNNNNNNNNNNNNNNNNNNNNNNNNNNNNNNNNNNNNNNNNNNNNNNNNNNNNNNNNNNNNNNNNNNNNNNNNNNNNNNNNNNNNNNNNNNNNNNNNNNNNNNNNNNNNNNNNNNNNNNNNNNNNNNNNNNNNNNNNNNNNNNNNNNNNNNNNNNNUGCUCUAUGAUCAGGGAUGUGCGGCUCUGGUUUUUAGGUUCUCUCUAUCCUACCAACAGAGAAGGUUCCCAACAAGUCCCAAGUAUUUUUAUUUGAUUUAAUCAACUAUCCUUUUUUUUUUCCUAAUUCCCAAAGUUAUACAUCCCUCUCACAAAACCUGAGGCUACACUCAACCCAUAAUUUCCCAUCAAAUCAGUAUCACCCCCAACUUAAUCCAACAACCAGAUUCAUCAAUUUCCUUCAGAGCACAUCAUAACCAAUAUACAAACAGGAAUCAUUUCCAGGAUCAUCAAUUCAAUGAAAUUCAGUUCAGCAACACAAUUCCAGGCAGAUUAUAACAGUCACAAUCAAACAUAGAGAAUGAACCAAAGGUUCAGAACAUUCCAAGACCAAAUACUUAAAUCAGAGACAAUUAAAUAUCAAAUAAUAUAUCACAGUUAAAUUUAACAUGCAUAGAGCAUUAAAACAGAGUUAACCAGUGUACAAACGCAAUUCAACAUAUUUUCUCAUAAAUUCAGGAAUUAAUCAGAACAACAAAAUACUUAUAUAGUUAGCUCCCCUUACCUCUAGGUUGCCUUGUUCAGUUUACAGAGAACGCCCUCACAGAUGCUCACAGAAUUUUCGAAUCACCAAAUGGGUGAUGGAUUUUUCUAGCUCUUGAAGCUAGAACAAACUGAGAAUGAAAGGAAACAAGCAUAAGGAACAUGAAACUAACUAAGUUACCUACCCUAAAGUCUAGAAACAGUGGAAAAAGGGUAAAACUACUUACCCACUGAAACGCAAGAUUGGUGAAAUGGUUCAGCAGCUCUUGACUCCAGGAAUGAUUUGGCGGUAUCAAUUUAGAAAUUUAACGAUUCAAUUUGUUGUAAUAUUAGAGAGAAGGUGGAGGAAACUUGGUUAGGGCAAAGUUCCUAUUCUAGAGAGAGAAGGGAAAUAUGCAGAAUGGGAAACUGGUUUUCUAAAAAGUAAAGCCCCUCCCCUCUAAGGCUGAAUCACCACAGGUUUAUGGGCUUGGCUGCCCCUUUUCUAAGGCCCAAUAGCCCUUAGAAAUUAUAGGCCCUUACAACAAAGGAGUGUUUAAUUCUCUUUGUAGGGUUAAACAGUUGCAAUAGAUGUUAAACACUUUCCAAAACAACUUUCUAUAGGAAAACUAUUGAAAAAUAAAAGCAUUUAAAGAAAAUUUUGUUUUUAUAUUGGUUCCUUCCAAACUUAGUUCUCCUUUAAAUUUCUUUAAGGGAUUUCACUAAUCACGAAUUAUUACAAACAAGUUUAUCUUGAUUUACAACUAAUCCAAUAGUUAGACGAGUAUGACUAUUUCUAUGAUCACUUGUCUAUGACUAAACAAUCUAUUCUACUAAGUUAACCUUUACAGGUGUUUUACUUCACUUCUGAAAAUAGACACAAAGUCUUUUGAAAGAUUACAAGAAUAGAAUGAAUAACUCUCUUUGAGAGGAUUUGAAAUCAAUAUAAUGAUAUUCUAAAAAACUUGUAAAAGAACUUUUCUUUUCAAAGACAAAUCUUAAGAGAAGGAGUUUAAGAGAAGUUGCGUAAGCAUAUUACAAUAACAUGUUUCUUGAUUUUCUUCUCUUCAUGCAGUCUUUUUUAUAUAGACAUUUUUGAAAAAGAUACGUUACUCAGAGCUUUUGACUUUCUUCAAGAGGUGUAUCCUCUAAGGUAGAGUCAAAAGCUACAUUGCGUCUUGGCAGAGCAAUGAUGCUUGUGUAUAGAAAGAGCAAGCAUAAAGCAUGUAUGAAACAUUCUUUGAAUAUCUUCCUAUCUCUUAAUUUUUUUUUUAUUCUAAGCAGACUUUUGAUAAAGAUAGAAAUCUGCAUUGAAAAAAAGAACACAACACAACUAACAAAGAAGUAUUAGAAAGUACAUGCUUUAAAGCUUUAGAAGAUCCUAAGCAUUUAGGCAUGAUUCGAGUGCUAUCGUUUAAUGUUGUCUGUUUGAGUAACAUGAUGUUGUUUUAGAAAACAAGUUAUGGUGUUUAGUGUUGUUCUAACCUUGUGUUAGCCAUUAUUUAUGUAUACACAACUGUGACAUGACCUGUGUUUAAGGUAGUAAUAAUAAUGUUAAUAAUAAUAAUAAUAACAAUUACACUUUAUUUUAUAUUAAUUUUAAUUAUAAAGGCAAAAUUGUAAUCUAACAAUUUUAUCUAUUAAACAUUUCUUUUAUCUACCACAUACAUAAAAUCAUUCACAAACUUUAUUUUCAAACCUUUCCACUUUCACCUCUACAUCCUUUAUCGCAAACAACACCCUAAUCCCUUCUUUAUCCCCUCAAAUUCAUCCAUUCACUCUCCUUUAUAUAUAUUCUAGCCAAAAGGUAAAAACCUCAUCACCUAGAGCAUUAAAAAUUGUGAUAUGCCUCUCCUUUACUUCCAAAGCCCUCUUUAUCUUUAUUGUCCUGGGUCUCUUUGAGUUUUCCCCCUCCUUUAACCUCUCCUUACUUCUCCUUCCAGCCUUUAAUGUCCUAUCUUUACCACAUGACCUUUUAGCUCCUUCAAUAACCAUUAGGUCAAUGAUAGGCAAAACAUGAGUCUUCUCCUCAUCAAUAAUCUAUCGGUAUCAGGCUUAUCACUUUGGGCCUACCAUCACAUUAUCCAUCAUUUGAAGAAAUUGUUUCAAAACACGGAUUUGAGGGUGGACAUGAGAGAAAAGAGAGGUAAAAGGGAAGUUGUUUAGAUUAAGGGGUUUGAGAGAAAAAUUUAUGAAAGUUUAUACAUGAUGUGAUGGGUUUGAUAGAUUAAAACAAUAUUUUAAUUGUAAAAAUUAGAAGAUUACCAUUUGAACAUUGGUCAUAAAAGUAACUUAAAAUAAAAUAUAACAAGUGUAAAUUAUGUUAAAAUGAAAUGUGAGUUAUUAUUUAAAAUAAAACUAUCAAAAUGAUCAUAUGAUAUUAAAAUAAAAUGUGAUGGGUAGAAAUUAAGUUCAAAUAAGUCAGUUUAAAUAAUAAUAAUAUUAUUAUUAUGAAAUGUGAGUUACUAUUUAACAUGAUAAAAUUAAACUUAAAAAAAUUAUAUUAAAUUAAGUUGAAAUUGUAACAUCCCAUUUUAAUAGUAUAAAAUUAGCAAAAUGAAACCUUACAUAAAUGUUAAAAGGACAAUUAGGUAAAACAAACCUCAUUCAAAGAAGGGAUAUACUUUUGUAGAUCUAUCUAAAACUCAUAAGCUUCUCCCUCACAUCUAGCUGGAACAACUGAAAAGGGUGAAUCCCUAAGCUCACACCAUUAGGUGAUCAUCGCAAAAGAGAAACAACAUACAAAGGUAGACAACAAAAAAGUAAGAGUAAGCUAGAUACAAAACAAUACUUCAUAAGUUUAAAGCAUUUCAUACACAAUUCAUUUAUAUAACAUACAUCAACCUAAAAACUUCUUAGCAUGCAAAGACCUAGAUUGACUAUCCAAAUAUUGUAUGAAAUGUCGAGUUAUGGUGGUUCCUACACUUGUGUUUGGCCUCUACUACUCUGUAGAGCCCUUGCUAAUGGGUUUCACCCUACCAAACACAAGGUUAGUCCUUAAACGCCCUUUUGCCAAAUGAAGAAAGGCCCAUAGGCUCGGACCUCCUGUUAUUCUCACCACAUGACUCACCACUCUUUACUUGAGCAUGAAUGAUCAUUAGAAUGUUAGGAUAAACCCCAGCGUAACUCCGACCAUUCAUACUAUCAAUACUUGAAACCAAACCGAAGGAGUUCCCCGUGGAACCCAUGUUACCAACCGUGAAACAAUACCGAAGGAGUUCCCCGUGGAACCCAUAUCACCAACCGUGAAACAUUUGAAACCAUACUUAUAACCAUAUACUAUCACAUUGAAUCCAAACAUAUAACAUCAUUAAUCAUACAAUAUCAUAUAUGCUUCUACACCAUUUAAGAAAUAAAACAUAGCUUAAGGUUAUCAAAUAACAAGGAUAAAAGAAUAAAAACAGGUUCGGGACUGGUCGCUCAGCGCACCAAACUCGUUAUCUGAAUAAAAUUGACAGUUCUCCCAGACCUCAACAAUUCGCUCAACGCAUACCAUUCGCUAAGCGAAAGUCCUCAGACAGACAACCAACUUCUACCACCAUUCCUUGAGCGAAUGGAUUCGUUCAGCGAGUCUGCAUAAUUCUGCAGCACCAAAUCUGUAAAAUUAUACAACCAACAUCAAGUUUACCAAUUCCAACUAUUUUUCCAACUUCUAACCCUCCUAGAUUGUGUUAUAUACCUAAUUAUACUUAACCAAAGUUGUCUAAACACUUCUAACCUCAAUAUAAACAAUUAGACUCAAGAUCUCACUCAAAAACUCACAAAAAUUUAACUUAGAGACCUAAAUUGAAUUCUACCAUUUGUGGCAUAAUUCCAAGCAACUUAGGGACUCUAGCAAGCCCCAAAUGACUUACCUAGACUGCCCAAACUGACCCUUUGCACACAGAACUCCAAACUCAAGUUUUCACUGCCCCACUUCCUCCAAAUUGAGUUCUAACACAAGUAGAACUCUACCUCAUUACCAACACACUCUACUAACCCAAUUCUCUAACAUUCCAAAUGUUAAACAAAACCCAAAUCAGUUCAUAAACAGCCGCAACUCCACCAAUUCAUUUCAACAACCCUUUCUCACCUUUUUACUAUCUUAAACCUUCAUUUUUUACCAAACCACCAACAACCAAGAUUACUCUUCGAUAUAACAGUCCAAUUUUGGUACCAUUCAGCUGAAGCAUAUCAACUAUAACAUCAUAACACAUAUAUAAUAGAUUCCACACAUUAUCAACAUCAAUCAACAUACAAAGCUUACAUCCAUCCAAUUUCUACCUAUAAAAUCACUUUUUUCCAUUUAAACAACUUAAUUAUAAUAACUAUGUAUCAAAUUCAUACAACAUAUUACAAAUUUCAAAAGAGCUAACUAGCUUCCCUUACCUUGACUCAACAGCUCCAAAACCUCUAAACACUCCACAGAUUUCUUGCAACACAAGGAACUUCUAGAAAACCUACAAACCACCGAUUGGUGAUUGGAGACCAACCUUAGAAUCACAAACGAACCAAGAAUUUAAGAAAAAAAGUGCUUGAUCCAUGCAAAAACAGAAAUGCUUUACUAAAUCAAGAACCCUAAAAUAACAAAGAAAAGGGUUUCUAACUUACUUGCUCUAAACAACAAAUUGAUUGGUUGGAUUUGAAGACCUUGACGUCGUGCUCAAAUAGAUGACCACCUCCUAAUCGUCAAAUAGAUGACUUGAGAUCAAGAAAUCUUAGAGAAAAAGGUAGAGAACUCUAGAAAAGUAGUUUCUAGAAAGAUGAUACGUUUUAAAAUAAUGAAAUUCGUUCAUAACAAAACUAUUUAUAAUAAAACCGUUUAAUAUUAAAAUAAUCAAGUCUCAUUGUUUUUAGACUACCACUUUCUGGGGUUUCACAAAAAUAAAAUGUUGGUGAUUAUUUUAAAUAAAUUAAGUAAUAAUUUGAAGGUUUAAUUUUUUGAGUGGUUCCCAUUUUCAAGGUACUGUGUCUACUUGUUUCCCGUUUUUAAAAAAGGUAUCAAUUUCAUCCACAAAUAGUUUAAUGUGCAUCAAUGAAGUCCACUCUGUUAAUUUUUCAUUGUCAACGUUAAUUGUGUGGUGAUGCGGCAAAAGACAUUUGCAACGUGUGGCUUUCUAAUUUUUGAGAUUAGGGUUUAAAAAAAAUUAUCAAGUUUGGAAGGGGCCUUCUUCACCACCACCUCGACGCUGGAGCGGAACGGGAGCUCCAAGACUGGAGUUAUGGCCAGUGACUUCGAGAACCGAAGACCACUACAAGAACACCAACACGAACCCAAGAUAACGUUGCAACGUCACAAUUGCCACUAUCCUUACCUCCUUCCAAUCUUGUUGAUAUUUUCUAUGACUUGAGGUAUUGUUGGCAUUGACAACACCAUCUCCUUUCUCCUUUUCUUCCUUCACAGCUAGAACUAGUAGAUUCAAUGUUAUUAACGCACAACCCCUUUUUAAGCCACAUGCACAUAGUCAAACUCAACCCUUUCUUUUUCUUUCAAAACCCAAGAAAGUACAUAACUUUUCUCCACCCCUGCAACAACAAAUAAAAAGGCAAAUUGUUUCGCUCCAAAUUGUAGGUGUAGGGGAUUACUACAAGAUCCUCAAGAUCUACGAUUUUUAUGGUCACUUCGCUUUCUUGGAUUUUAUGCUUGCAAAAUGAAGGGAAGUUUUGAUUGUCUUGAAUGAGAAAUAGUCUUAAACAUUUUGAACUUAAUGCUUGUUUCCUUUUAUGGAGAAAAUAUCGGGAGAUUAAGAUGCUGCGAGGAAUUGAUAAAAUGUGAGUGGAAGGAAAGAACAAAUGUAAAAUAAGUGUAUGUAGAGAUAAAGAAGAUAAUGAUUCAAAUUUGAUGUUAUUGUGUUACCAUUUUCCUUCUCUUUAUUUAUUAUAUUUUUAUGCAAAUGUAUUUUGCCACAUUACUAUAAUAUUUUUCUUUAUCUUCACACAUUUAACGCUCUCAAUGAAAAAUUAAUGAAAUAGACUAACUUUGGUUGAAGUUGAUAUUUUCUUUUUUCUAAAAGCAGAGACAAAGUAGAUUCACUACCUUGAAAGUGCAAAUCACCCAAGCAAUUAAACCUAAUUUAAAUUGGUGAAAUUAAUUUAAACUAAAAGUUAAUAUAAAUUAAAAUGGAGUUGUAAAUGUGUGACUUGGAUAAUAAAAAAGAAAAAGGUCACAAUGUAAAACAAAAUGUUAUUUGUGUAAUUUAGCAUAGGCGAACUAACUUUCUUCUCUGUUUUCUUUACUCAUACAAUAAUUAAGGAGAAUUCACUCCCAUAAAAUUUGAAAAAAAAAAUAAGAGGAAAAUUUAUGAAAAUUAGUCUGAUAAAUUUGGUAGAUUAAAAAAAUGCUUAAUUGAUAAAAUUGAAUGAAUACCAUUAUAUCCUUUUAAGAUUAAUUUAAAAUAUAAAAUGUAAUUAAUUUAAAUUUUAAGUUAAAAUUUAUUAUUAUUAUUUAUGAUUUUCUAAUUAUUUUGAUUAUCAUUAUUUUACUAAUUUAUUACCAUUAUUAUUAUAUAAAUUUUUAUAUUAUUAUUAUUUAUUAUUUAAAAUAUUAUUUUUAUUUAUAUAGAUUUAUUUUUAUUAUCAUUAUGAUUUAUAUAAGCACAAUGAUAUUUGUCAAAAUAAUCACAGUAGUUUUAUUUGAAUAAACAAAUACACCAUUUAUAAGAACUAAAAUGAUAUUUGUCAAAUUAAAAUUAAAAUAAAAAGCUAAAAAGUUUCAUUAAUAAAUACUUUUGAAGACACAUCUAAAAGGCAGAAACUGUAGCCUACUCUACUACAUUCAUCAACUGUAUAAGGUGUCAAUGACACUCAGAUGAACACGCAAAGACAAGACAAGGCUCAAGACAACCUUCCAUAUAUGACAAAUUUCUAUGCAGAGACAGUAUAGUUAUAAAAUUUAAAUGGUGAGAAGAACAGUGUAAUACCCUCUGAUUUAUAACAUGGUUCUGUUCAUAAUGAAGAGGCAUCAUUGCAAGCUCUUUCGUUAGCACUUUCACAGAAAUUUGUUGCUUCUGCUCAUCAUCACAUCUUCCAAGUCUGCACUUAAUUUUUGUCUAUAUGGUCCUAUGAGCGGAUGUUUACUUUUAAGAUCAAUUUCAAAAGGAUGAAUCGUUGAGUCUCUUGUGAGAUUAUUAAGAGAGACACAAAAUACCGAUAGAAUAGAAUCUGAAUCUAAUCAUAUAAGGGAUUGAUAUCACAAUUUAUCCAAAAAUUUAGAGUAAUGAAUUAAUGAGUCUUUCAUCUUUAUAUAAUAUUUUACUUUUUCAUCUCUAUUCAAUAUGGAACUUAAACUCACAUUUGGAUUCUUAACAUGAUAUCAUGGAUUUAAAGUAAAAUUUGUAUUAUUUAUUUUAAAAGAUUUGAAGAUAAAAAUAAAAAAGGUUUGAUAAAUAUGAUUAAAUAAAGAAAAUGUUUUAAUGAAUUAAAAUAUAAAGUUAUUAUUUUGUUAUUAUAAUAAAAAAUAAUAUAUUAUUAUUAGUCAAACCUUCAAAAUAUCGUAAUAUAUAAAAUAAUGGAUUUCAAAGGUAGGGAAUCGAUUUCCUGCAAUCCAUAACGAUUCCCAAAACACUUAGCCCAUACAUGUUCUGAUAUAUCCAUAUGCGAAGAUUUCAUUUCUUAUAUAGACAUGUGAAAUUAUACUAAGGUAUAAUGAUAAAACUAAAUGUUUCAUUUUUAACUUUCCUUUUACAUGCAAAGAUCUCAUCCUUCUCUUAUCCCACAAAUUUGUUUCCCACUCACCUUCAAAUUGCUAAGUAGGAACAUACUCGAAAACUCAUCUACCUUAACAGUAAAGGAACACAACAAUAAUAGUUGUUUUGUUAAUUUUUUUCCUUUCUUUUUACUCUUUUUGUAUCUCUCACACUUCAACACUAAUUCAUGGUUCCAAUUUUGUAUUGCAGAGAAAAUUUGCAUUAGCCAUAAGAUUAGUUAACUAGGUAGUUAAUCGCAAUCUUUAAAAUGUUUGUUAGCUGCGUUUGAUUUUGGAUAAGUGAGUAUUCUUAUAUAUUACCAUUGAGUUUUAUCCUUAAAUCUUAAGUAGGAAUGAAUUUAGGUUAUGUUAUUAUGAAUGCUUGGAGAGUUUUGAACACAUUUGGAUUGACAAAUAUGGUAGUUAUGUUGUAUAGGUUGGAAUGAAAAUUAGGUGAUUAUGAAUUGUGUUAGAAUUAAAAACAUUAUUAUUCAACUUGCUCGUCGUUAAGUAAAUUUUGUUGCAUAAUCUCGAAUAUUUUCAAUCUCAAAUUGAAGGUCACUUGUUUAAAUCUACUCAAACAUGUAAUCUCAUAUAUAGGACGUGUUGCAUCUUGAUAGUGAUUACACAAAAUCACAUGACACAAUAUUUGAGUAUCUUUACCUAUUUGGAUUAAGUUAUCUAAACUAAAGUUAAGUUAAAACAUAGGACUUUCUUCCUUCGUCCUAACCUUUCUAAAUUUUUCACAUUACAUUUUUACUCUUAUACUGAAUCUUUGACUAGGGUAAUCCCUAUUUGAUCUCUUAUCGCUCUCUCCAAGUCACAACAUACCCUCUCUUUCUACACUUUCUUUCAUUCUCUUUCUCACCUCCUAAAUGCAUGACUUUGUCUAUCCACACCUUCACAAAUUUUUCUUUAUAAGGAAUUAUCUAUGAGUCAUUAAAAAAUUCAAAGAAUAAAGGCUAAGCAUUGCAAACAUUGAUCUCUACAAUCCAUCACAUUUUCCAAUGCAUACAAGACAACCUCCCACACCUCCAUAGAAUUAGGCAACAUUUUUCACUUGGCUCUAACAUGUUUUUGAAUGUGGAAACGAAAAAGAAGAUGAUAAGAUUUAAGGAACAUUAUGCUUAUUGCAAUCAUCAAAGCAAGCUCUCUAUCAGUAACAAUGACUUUAGGGAGACCAUCAGAUGUCAUGAACAACCCUUUUAUCCUUUCAAGACCACAAACAAAGUUAUUCACUCAUUCAUUUGAUAAGAACACAAAGGUGAUAGAGAAAUUCAACCCUGUUGAUGUGAAACCAUCAACAAAAAUAUGAUGUGAAACCAACAUUCUCAAGUAGAGGCAACCUAUAUAUGUUGGUUUUAUAUUUGUUAUCCAUCAACAAAAAAAAUAUUAUAUUCACUCAACAACUUAAUUAGGAUGUGCCUAAAAUAGGUCACUAAUCUCAUUAGAAUCAUGUACACAUAUAAUCCAAUGGAUGUAUUUAUCGUGUUCUAACAACAUCAACUAUAAUUAAGUUCUACAUCAUCUUAAAGAUUGUUUAUAAGUAUAUCUAGCAUUGUACAAUUGUUCUGUUGUUGUGACAUUAUCUUCAUUAUUUUCUUUUAGGGUAAGCAAAAUGCUUGUAGGCUUAACUUGACUCUUAGUCAUGCUAACAAACAAUGAUUGUUCAUUUGGAUUUAAUCUACUAGCAUAAGGGUGACCAAUUAAAGUCUUGAACAACAUUUGUGUUACUCAAGCUGACAUUCUCGCUUCCGCUUCGUCCAACACUGUUCGCGAAGGGUCCUUCCCCCUAAGGCGGAACACUCCCCUACCGAUCAUUUUGACAUCCCACAGCUUCGACAGAUCGUUUAUCCACAUUCAUCUUCGGCGCAAGAGCACUCGAUCAGUGAGCUAUUACGCACUCUUUCAAGGGUGGAUACUUCUAGGCAAACCUCCUGGUUGUCUCUGCACCCCUACCUCCUUUAUCACUUAGCGGUCAUUUAGGGGCCUUAAUUGGUGAUCCAGGUUGUUUCCCUCUCGACGAUGAAGCUUAUCCCCCAUCGUCUCACUGGCCGACCUUGACCCUUGUUAUUACCUUCAAUACCCAAAAUUAGAUACUAGUUUACUCUCAAUUUAAAACGACAAUCAUAUUUUCAUGUUUUAGUUAUACUAGGUUGAAGGUCAUAUUUAUAUUUGGUUUAAUCACUCAGAUAGUCCCUAUUUUUGUGACUUUUCUCAAAUAGGUCUCUCAUAUUUUUUUUCUUGUCUCAAUUAGGUUUCCAUUUUUGAAAAAUUGAAGUAAUUAGGUCUUUACCGUUAGUUCUGCACUAACACUGUUAAAGAGGAUGUCACGCGUUAGUUCUUAAUUUUUUUGAAUUUUUUUAAAUAUUUUAAUAAUUAUUAAUUUUGAAAUAAUAAAAAUUACCACAUAUCAACUUGACAUUGUACCACGUGGAAAUGACAUUGUCAUGUGAUACUAAUAGUGCCAUGUGUCACUGUCAGGUGUCAUUGAAAUUGUUUUAGUUUGGUCCUAUGUUUUUAUUUUGUCUCAAUUUGGUCUUUAUAAUUUGUUUUAAUUUGUUUAGAUAUUAUUCUAUAAGUACUAUUUGACUGUUUAUGUUUUUACAUGGUUGAUAUAUAAAAUAUAGUUUUACCUUAAAAAUUAAACGAGUAAAAGAUUAAAUUAAAUAUAGUUUUUGGUUCGAAAGGAUUUUGCAAAAGUUGACGCACGAAUAAUUUUAGAAGAUUUAACUAAAUAAAAUAACAGUAUGUACAUUUUCCAAAUUCUUGUCUUUAAAUCUAUUUCUAUUAAGUGAAUUUUUAGUGAUAAUGUAUUCCAAGUCUAAAUGUUUAACUCUAAAAAAGUUUUAUGAAUUGUUAACUAAGUACUUAGACUAUUGUUUUGUAGAUCACCUUCACAAAAAUAUAUAUUAUUGAAAUGUUAACUUUUAUAGUUUACUCGUUAAUAUUAUUUAGGUUAAAUGAUUUCAUUUGUUGUUUAAUUUUGUAGAAAAAUUUUAAAUGGGUUUCUUUAUUUUUAUGUCUCAAUUUUGUUUUUAUUAUGAAAACUUUAAUGCAAUUAAGUUAUUUUCAUUAGUACUACACAAAAUAAAAAUGUGUCAUAUGUUAGUUCGUAAUUUAUUUUAUUUUUCUAAUAAAAAAAUAUCAAUUUGUAUUAUACAAAUUAAAUUUUUUUAGAAGUUAGAAAGAAACAAAAUUGUUUAAUUAAAAAAAACAGGAUUAAAUUGAAACUAAAUAAAAAUACAAGGAUCAAAUUGAGACAAAAUAAAAAUAGAAGAACCAAAUUGAGACAAAUACAAUAAUAUGUGAUCUGAAAAUGACACGUGACACUGUCAAUGUCAGAUUAUACUAUCAUUGUCAAUGUCACAUUAUACUAUCAUUUUCACAUGGUACAAUCUCAACUUAACACGUAACAAUUAAAAAAAUAAAUAAAAAUAAAAAUAAUUCAAAACAAUAUUUAAAAAAUUCAAAAAAACCACAUAUACAUUACACUCUGUUUGAAAAAUUGAGAAAGUGAGAGGUGCAACUAAAAGUGAGAAAAAAAGCAAUGAAUUAUGAUUUUUACCCUCGUAAAAAUCAAAGAUUCAGUCAAACAGCGAAAUAGUAAAAAGGGGUAAUGCAUGAAAUUGGGGGUGUAGGAAGAAAAAUGGGCGGUGAUGGAGAAAAGGCUCUAAAAAAAAUGGAGAAAGUGUUUACGUGGAAGGGAAUGGUAAAAUUUUUGUUUCCACUAGCAAAUGUCCUAAAUUAUAUUCUAUACUUAGAAAGGAUAUUCAGUCAUUUAAAAAUAAUGGUUACGCCAUUUUGGAUUCUAAUGACUAAGAAGUAAUUAAGGUUGAAGUGUGAUGAAAGCCUAGUCAAGUCAAGAAUUUCCAUUAAACUAUUAAGAAAAUUGAAAAGUUUAAGAAGAUAAUAAGACGGAUAAAACACCACAAUCAAGAAUGAUUCAUACGUUAGGAUUCACCAUUUUAAUUCUUUAAAAAAUAUAUAUCUCUUAUUAUCAAUGUAACUACAUUUCAUUGUUUAUCAUUUAACAUAAUUUUUUAAAUAGUUUAUAUAAAAUUAUUUACUUAGAGAAUCUUUCUCAUUCAUUAUUACUAAUUUUAAAAAACUAUCCAAGAUCAAUUGUGCUUUUCUGAGAAAAUAUUUGAAAGAAGUUUUACAUGAAGACAUUGGGUGAUAUGUCUAAAAAUAGACAAGGAAUCUCAAAAUUCAAUAUGAUACAAUAAUCCCUAAAGACUUUUAAGCCAACUGUCAAAUUGACAUGCAUGGACAUUAUUCCAAUUAAAUUCAUGUUACUAAAUUUGAUGUCAUUUUUUUUUUAAAUAAUAAUCAUAGAUCUUGAAAAUAUUUGAUCUAUUCGUGAGAAGGGUUUGGAGAGUAGUUUGUUUAAGCUUAUAUUUAAAUGAAUUAAUCCAUACAAAGCCGCAUUCAAACCAGUCAAAAUUUCACACCAAUCCACAUUUUGAAUUUCAAUGGUCUUUGAGCCUAUCUUGCAAGAUUUAGAAAUAACUUAUUUAAUAUUAUUUUUUCUAAGAGUAAACACACCUAACUUAUUAACUUCUUUUUUUUCAGAAUAAAUUAUAAGCUAGAAUCACUCAGAUGGACUAACUUUUUUCUCGUCCAAACCAACUUAUUGCCUUUUGCACGUUGCAAGUAAUUAUAGCGUUAUUAGUAAAACCAAAGGCUUACUCAGUUUCAAGCUACUAAUCAUAAAGAUAAAUUUUCAAUCUAAAUAAUGAAUGUCUUUUUCUUUUUGUCAAUCUUCCAUUUCCUUCCCAAUUACAAACGAUUUGCUCACAAAAAUGUGGAAUUUGGUAUCAGAUAUAUGCUUUGUUAGAAGUGGACCGAAUCAGUGGGUCAAUUUGCCACUAGUUUGAUUGAACACGUUACAUAUUUUUAACUCAUCAAUCUCCUGUACCUUAUAUCUAACUCCUCAACCAAACUAAUCAGAAAUUAUUGAACAUGAAAUAUUUUUUAUGCAGCUAAAUUAUAUAUUUUCCAUCCUGAAAUACAAAUGCGAAGGAACAUAUUAGCAGCAUUCUUUUUAUAGAUAAGUGAAGGAUUUCUCUCUUUAUUUCACAAGAAAUUUUGAAUUCAAUUCCGGUGAAGGUGUUACGAAAUUGCAAUGAGGGAAUAUUAGGAUCAGAAAAAUAAAAGGAAAUUAAAAAGAGAAGGAUAUUUUACAUAUUUGGUGUACAGCACAGCACUAGUUAGGAAGAAUUAUUUGACAGAAGGAUGAAAGAGGUAAAGGUUUGAUUGAAGAGGGUACUAAAUAAAUUGAGGCAGAGAAGCUAGUUAUUUUAACAAACUUCACAUUUCAGAUGAUCAUUGUUGGGCAAGAGGAAGGUGUAUGGGUGUGUGCUAAUAUCCGACACAGGCCAAGAAUAUGGCCAAAGUAGCUCUUAUAAUAAACUUGCAUAAUCUUACCCUCCGUGAACUAGCUUUUGGGGCCCAAUCCUUCUCCAAUAUAUAAUUUCCUUGUCUACAAACACCACAUGCUCAAUAACUCCAUGUAAGGACUGGCUAAACUUUAGUUUAUAAUGAACAAAGAGAUAGUAUAAAGUAAAGAUAGGUAUAUGACACUGUAUUCUAAUACCUAAGCACCGAAAUAUUAUCUGAUAACAAGGACAAAACUCUGAAGUCCCCUUCAAUGGUAGACAAAAAGAAUGAAAAACAUUAUUUUGUACCAAGAUUUAGGAGCCAAACCAUCACUCUAAAUAUAAAUUGGCACCAGAAUUCAGCAAAUGAAGUUUCUAGUUCCAGCAUAAAAAACGGUUGCCAAACUGAGUACUCACUUAAACUUUGACACUUCUAAACCUACAAUGGCUAGACAGUACGGAGUUCAAAUCAUCCUAGGGGAGUAUCAUUCUACAAAAUUGUUUCUCUGUCAUUUCUUCUAAAGAGUACUACAAAUAGAUUCAUUAGCGUUGUCAAAUGUAACAAUAUCCUAAUGACAAGAAUCAAACAAACUCUAAAAGUUAUUCUCCACACCCUGUUACAUCAGAAACUCAUCGGUGGCACUGUAUUUUUUUCACAACACCUAGAGGUACACUUGAGUAUACAAGUAGUACCCAACCAGGAAGAAGCAGGGACAGAACAGGAAAUUUUGAGAUAGCCUACUCUCUCCCAGACCAAAAAUAAUCCCAAAACUUCCUUAUCCUCUAUUCUAACCAAAAUGCCCCCUAGCAUACCACAUACCCAUCUCCCACAUGUGCAUCAAGCUGUUAAGUGAUGUUAGAAUUAUUGGUUAGUGUGUGAGUUGUGUGUAAGCUGUGUGUAUGAGCUUAAUGGUAAAAUAAUUACUAAGCCUACCUAUGUUAGUGUAAUCAUUUGGCACUUUUAUUUGGCAUUUUCAUUGUCUUCAAUUCAUCUGCAUCCAGAAUCAACGAGACCGGAAGUCUCUUCUUCGAAGAACCCAAGAAUGGCCACUGCCUUCGCUACUUACUCUGUCGUGCACCGUCACUACCCGCCGCCGGUCUCCAUACGUCGCCGGCCACCGUUGUAGUUUCUACCGGUGACCGGCAGAUCUGGACCGCCUCCUCAAGCGACGGUCAACCCCGCCGAAGUCAGGACCAGACUCCUCCACACGCGCCUCCACGCGCCUCAUCUCUCCGUCAGAUCUCGUGUGCGUGUUCGUCACAAGCCGCUCUAUCGGGGUCGGAAUCACACCGCGACGCUGCGAUCGUGUCGCCGAACCUUCCUCUCUCUGUUCUGACCCUCCAUAGCGGCCAUUGUUGUCUUCUCGCCGCAAUUCCGCAUCGCCAGACCUCUCGUUUCUGUGUUCUGGUUUGGUGCGUCUGGUUAUUUUAUUCUGGCUUCUACCACCAUCAAUGGGUUCUAUUUCCCUUUCUUGUGCGGAACUGAUUGGUCCAUCUUGCUGUCGUCUCCAACGUUUGUGUCGCCAUGAAGUAUAUAUUGAAAGUGCUUCCCUUGCUCUCACCGCUCUCGGUUUUCAGGCCGUUCUCUUUGCUAGUAAUAAUUAUCUUAGCAAUGGGUAUACACCCCGUCUUUUUUCCUCACAGUUGCAUCAGUUGGGCAACCUUGAUAGCCGAUAUCGUUUGGAGAAGGUUUGCAUUAUCGGUAUCCGCAAGAAGUGGUUUGAAUCUUGUGCUUUAUCCACACCCUAUCAGUUCUACGACUUCCUCAGCUUCCUCAAGAUGCAACAAGGUCAAGAGGCUUUGCACAAGCUGCACACCUUGUCAGUUCUAGGAUGAUAUGUCUUCUACAAUUAGUUCUCGACGUGCUGAAAUUGAAGCCAGAUUGGCAAAAGCUAAGUUAGUUGUCCAACAGAUUCAUGAUGAGUUAUACCAAGGCCAGAUUUGUUGUUAGCCUUUGAAGGCUCCCCAUCUAUUAGUGAUGAUGGAAACCCAGUCCCUACAGAUCUGUUGUUGUUUGCAUCUACAAGCCUUAAUCAGUUCUUGCAGUUUGAUGUUGCUUGCUGCUGUAGGACAUCAUCCACGUUUAGUAGAAAUCUCUUUGGUGAAAGUCAUUUAUGCGUUUUUAUCUUUAGCAACUAAGAUGCUUCCAACCCCAAUCAACAAUUUCACUAUUUCCACCGUUCACGGUGAGGGGAGUAUGUUUAUGUUUCCAAGACACUGCAAGUCAAGUAUGGCAGUUCAAGCCACAUAAGUAUGGUAAUCCCUAUAGAUUUGUAGCUUUCAGCCACUACAAGCCCCAUCACCCAUCAGUCUCAAAGAUGGCACACUGCAAGUCAAGUAUGGCAUUUCAAGCCACAUAAGUAUGGUAGUCCUUGUAGAUUUGUAGCUUUCAGCCACUACAGGCCCCAUCACCCAUCAGUCUCAGAGAUGGCAGUCCCUGCAAUUUUAUCGCAUUUAGCCACUGCAGGCCCCAUCCUUACUUGACGAGGGAUUUCGUCCUUGCAGAUUGUCAUUGUCCACCACUGCCCUCCGUCAUCCACUUUUGAAGUUGAAGUUUCACAGGCUGUUGUCUCACACUCUUGAAGAAACUCUUGAAAAAAAAUCAUCGGUUUCAAAAUUGAGUUUAUCUAUUCCAAACUUGGUUCAUACAAUUUGUAUGCUCCAACUUGAGGGAGAAUGUUAGAAUUAUUGGUUAGUGUGUGAGUUGUGUGUGAGUUGUGUGUAUGAGCUUAAUGGUAAAAUAAUUACUAAGCCUACCUAUGUUAGUGUAGUCAGUAAGACUAAAGUAGGUAGGAAAUAGUGUGUUGGGUUAUCUCUAAUGAUUGUACCUAGAGGUCUAGGACAGUUCCUUGACCUUCCAUCUUCCCAUUAUAUCAACUUUUUAUCUAUAUAAAUAAUAGAACAUGAGAAGGGUCUACCAAGCCCUCAAAAAUAUAUUUUUAUCAGUCUUAAAUCUCAACAAGUGAUAAGUGAUGUCACAGUUCCCGUGCUCCCCCGAAGGGGGUUGAUUCCCUUCUAGCUAUCCCUUUUAUCCUAGAAUGAAAUACAUCCCAAAUUUGAUGCAAAAGAAGCUUAAAGCAUAACAUACAAUAUAAAUGAUGAUUCGCAUACAAUCUUCUAAUGCUAGCAAUACAGAGGAGGCCUCGCAGUGACAUCUCAGCAUAAAUUGAAUAAUACAAGAUUACUGAGCACAGGCCAUCAUAAUAAUCAGAGGUACAAAGUGAAAUCUCCAGUAAAACCAAACGCAGGAAAAUCACAACUCAUUAGUAAGGCCCAUUCAAUUUCCUCAUUCUUCACAGAGUACAACAAUAAGCCAAAGGCAAGAAGCACCACACACACCACAUUGAAAUUGCAAGACUAUGAUCAGACAAGCCACACACACACGCAGACACAUCCGAAGCACAGGAUAAUUCCAUCAAGAAAGGAAGUCAAUACAGCUACCUAAUCACUCGGUAGGAAAAAAAUAAAUUAACAUACAUGUAUAACCUAGAAGAAGCAAAAAGAAAACAAAAUAAAAAGAAUAUAUAAAAAGAGUCGGCAAUGCAGCUAUGAAGUUUCUAUUAUACAAACAUGAAUUCUGCUUACAGUAUGAAGAAGACCUACAGUAAUAGUACACAGCAGCAACGCUUAUCCAUCUCCUCCUCCUACUCAUCAUCACUUGGAAACCAAGAGAAUCUCAGGCUUCUUGACCUUGGUGGGUGUGUUGGAAUUGGAGUUGGAACCAGCAUUAGCCUUGGCAGCCUCUGCCGUCCUCACAUCGAGCUGAAUGAGACUCCUGGUGGCGAGAAUGGCCUGCGGUACCAAAUCAUGCGAGGCACGAGCGUACAAACAGCGAACCGCGAAGGAAGCCGCGUCCUUCACGUCCUGAGAGUUCAACGGCCCCAAGAGACAGUGUCCCAGGAUUCUGAGCGAGGGUUGGAGAAUCUCCCAGGGGAGAGGGAUUCUCUCGCCUUUGGCAGCGCUAAUAUCGGAACGAUCGGGAAUCGGGGCGUCGUCGAAUUGAGAGCGGCAGGGGCAUGGGGCGGAGCCGGCCCAGGCGGCGGCGAAUUGGCAGAAGUCGAGCUUGGACCAGGCGGGCAUGUGGGAGAUCUGGGAGAAGUAGGAGUGGAGGGCGACGCCGACGAUGGCGGGGCGUUUGGUGGAUUUGACGCCGAGUUGGGGUUCCAAGGGGGGAGAAAUGAGGCCGACGGAGGGAGGGGAGAGGGAUUGGGGUUUUCGGAGAGGGGCGUGGUAGAUGGAGGGGUGCGAGAGGUCAGGGAUCGUUACGAGGAGGGGUUUGCCGUUGCGGGAUCUGGUCUCGGCGGCGUAGAGGGCGAGGAGGACGGCCUCGAAGCCGGCGAGGGAAGGAGGCUCAGGGGAGUGGAUACGGGAGAGGUAGAGACCAGUGAGGAGAGGGACGAAGGAUAGUACGACGAGGCGGAGAUGGGGGUCGGCGGAGAGGAAGGUGUCGUAGAGCCAGUGGCAGAGGGGGUCGGAGUGGGAGCCGGAGAGGGAAGCUGAGACGGCAGCGUAGGCGGCGGAGGAGGAGAGGAGGGAAAGGGCGGGGCGGUCGGAGUCGGCGAGAGAGGAAAGGGGGUCGUGGGAGGAGGAGGGGAGGAUGGCGGCGAGGGCGUGGAUGCGGGAACGAGCCUUGGACACUGACUCCCACCAUGAAUGCAUUGGGUCGGUUACGGGUUUUUUUGGAUCGGUGGUGUUGGGUGUUGGCAUGGAUGAAGACGGCGACGAUGAAUCGCUGCGGUGGAACUCCAUGCUCCUCACACUCACUCACUCUUUUGCUUCUCUCUCUACAAAACAACUGCCACACCAAAACCCCUCCAUCUCUCUAUUUAAUACCCUUUUCCUCUUUCAAGAUAUAUUGUAUGAUUUUAAAAAUGGCAUUUAAAGCAGAGAAGAGAAAUAGAGAAAUACUUAAUCAGUUUCUAACGUUGUUGAUCGAACAGGAGUGUUGUUUUUGCUGCUCCUACUUUCUACCACUCUUUAAUAUGAUAUACAAGUAUUUGGGAAGAAAGGUUUAUCUGAACUUUGGUGUAUUAACAUUAACAGUGUAAUUCCUUCAAAGAAGAUUCAAUGGAAGAGGUUGUUGAUAUUUGGUCAAAUCUCUAUUGUUUGUUGAAGGUUCAUAUAUGAGAUUAUAAAUCAUAAUUGUAAUGAUUUUGUGUGGAGGAAGGAAUAAAAGGAGCGAGAGAGUGAGAGAAAGAGAAACAAAGGUAAAAGUGAGGUUUUUUUAAUUAAUAAAAUUGAUGAGAAAUUAAAAAAAAAAUUGUAAUUAUCAAAAAUAAAUUAUUAAAUAUAUUUUUAGUCUUUAAUUUAUAACAAAAAAUUAAAAAUAAUCUCAAUUCGAAAUUUUUUCCUAUAUUUUUAUUUAUUUUAGUAGUGUUAAAUUUUAUUUUACUUAUUAAACUCAUUUUCUACUUCAACAUAGAUAAUAUUGAUAUAUAAAAUGAUAUAUAACAUAUCGAAAUGUUUUAUGGUGAAUAUAGUGAAAAAAUAUAUUUGAGAUUAAUCUUUCUUGUGUUAAAUACACAUAUAGGACUUUCUAUAUACAAAAAAUAAAUAAUAAUAAUAAACUAACUAAAAGAUAAAAGAUAAAUAUAAAAUAAAAAUAAUAUAUCUAACACUCUCCCCAAGUUGGUGCAUACAAAUCAUAUGUACCAAGCUUGUUACAAAUAUAAUUAAUUCUCGGUCUCCGUGAAGACUUUUUAGUGAAAAUUUUUGUUAAUUGAUCAUUUAAAUUUACGAAUUCAAUCUUGAUAUCUCCAUAUACAAUCUUCUCUCAAAUGAAAUGACAAUCAAUUUCAAUGUGUUUGGUCCUCUCAUGAAAGACAAGAUUAGAACUAAUAAGAAGAGCAGCCUGAUUGUCACAUAUAAGCGUCAUUUGCGUGACAUCUCCAAAUUGUAACUCUCUAAGCAAUUGCUUAAGCCAAACAAGUUCAGAAGUGGCUAAAGUCAUAGCUUUAUAUUCUGCUUCUGUACUAGAUCUUGCCACAACACUUUGUUUCUUGCUUUUCCAAGAGAUCAAGUUACAACCAAUGGAGACACAAUAUCCGGAUGUAGAUCUUCUAUCAGAAGGAGACCCUGCCCAAUCAGCAUCAAAAUAACAAACCACUCUUGUAUGGUUACUAGAACCAUAUAACAAUCCUUUUCUAGGCGAUCUUUUAAUGUACUUUAAUAUACGAAUAACUACAUUCCAAUGAUCUUCACAUGGGGAAUUAAGGAAUUGACUUACCACACUAACUGCAAAGGAAAUAUCAGGACGAGUAAUUGUAAGAUAAUUCAAUUUUCCAACUAGUCUUCUAUAUUUCUCGGGAUCUGACAUAGGCUCCCCCUGUUUUGGUAGAAGUUUAGUAUUAGGAUCCAUGGGUGUGUCCACAGGUUUUGAAUUCAUCAACCCAGUUUCCUCCAAAAUAUCUAAUGCAUAUUUCCUUUGCGAUAUAACAAUACCAUCAUUGGAUUAUGCCACCUCAAUACCCAAGAAAUAUCUAAGUUUGCCAAGAUCUUUGGUAUGAAAAUGGUUGCAAAGAUGUUGUUUCAUCUGAGAAAUGCCAUGACUGUCACUACUUGUAAGAACAAUGUCGUCAACAUAUACUGUCAAGUAUACAGAUCCAACACUUGAGUGACGGUAAAAGACUGAAUGAUCUGUCUCACACCGAGUCAUACCAAAUUGUUGAAUCACAUCACUAAACUUUCCAAACCAGGCCCUAGGAGAUUGUUUUAGGCCAUAUAAAUAUUUGCGAAGAUGACAUACCAUCCCAGAAGACUCCCCCUAAGCAACAAAUCCUGGAGGUUGCUCCAUAUAAAUCUCUUCUUGCAAAUCUCCAUUAAGGAAUGCAUUUUUGACAACCAAUUGAUAAAGAGGCCAUUGUUGAAGAGUCGUCAUGGCUAUAAAUAAACGAAUAGAUGCCAUCUUUGCCACUUGAGAAAAAGUAUCACCAUAAUCCAAACCAAAAAUUUGAGUGUAACCUUUGGCCACAAGACGAGCUUUGAGGCGAUCAAUAGUUCCAUCAGGACCAACUUUGAUAGCAAAAACCCACUUGCAACCAACAACAGAUUUCCCAGAUGGUAAUGGGAUAAGCUCCCAAGUUCCACUAUGCUGAAGAGCACUUAGUUCAUCUAACAUGGCCUGACACCAACCAGGAUGGGCUAAGGCAUCAUUAAUAGAUUUUGGGAUUGUCACAGAAGAAAUAGAAGAAAGACAGGUAUAAAAAGGUGAAAACAGUCUAUGAUAACUUAAAGCAAGAUAAUGUGGAGAGGGAUUAUGGGUAGAACGUAUACCUUGUCGAAGGGCAAUUGGAAGGAUAGACUCAGUUGUCGGAGCUGGAGGAGACAAGGUAGUUGGCACUUCAAUUGAGUCACUUGGUGGUUGUUGAGAAACCGCUGGAGAUCUAGGCACAAUUGGAGGAUCACAAACAAUAGGAAUAUUGAUAAUAUUAGAAGGAGACAUAUCAGAAGAAGAAUGAUCAUUAAAAUAAAAGGAAGACUUAUUGAAGGUGACAUCUGCAAAUAUAAAAUAACGAUCAAGAGAAGGAGAAAAACACUUGUAUCCUUUCUUUGAUUUAGUAAAGCCUAAAAAAACACAUUUGUGUGAUCGAGGAGCUAACUUAUCAAGACCAGGACAAAAAUUAUGAACAAAACAUGUAGACCCAAAAACUUUUAGAGGUAAUGAGUGAAGAGGUUCAUGAGGAAAUAAAAUAGAAUGAGGUAUUUUAUUUUCUAAAACAGAAGAGGGCAUGUGAUUAAUGAGAUAACAUGUAGUAAGAACAACAUCACCCCAAAAAUAUUGAGGAAUGUUACCAUGAAUUAAAAGAGUACGAGUUGUUUCAAUCAGAUGUUUAUUUUUACGCUCAUCCACCCUAUUUUGUUGAGGUGUAUAAGCACAUGAAGUUUGGUGAAGAAUACCAUGAGAAGCCAUAAAUUGUUGAAAAGAAUGGGAAAGAUAUUCACGACCAUUAUCACUACACAAAAUUUGAAUAGAAACACCAAACUGAGUUUUAAUUUCAUUAUAAAAAGUUUGAAAAUGAUACAAUAACUCAGAACAAUUUUUCAUUAAAAACAACCAAGUACAUCUAGAAUAAUCAUCAAUAAAGAUAACGAAGUAUUGAAAACCUAAAUUAGACUUAACACGACUAGGUCCCCAAAUGUCAAAAUGAACUAAGGCAAAAGGAGACGAAGCACGUUGUGAGACACUACGAGAAAGGAACUACGAAUAUGUUUUCCUAAUUGACACGAGUCACAGACCAAAUUGGACAACUUGGAUAAGUUAGGAACAAGCAGUUGUAGUUUGGCAAGACUGGGAUGACCUAACUGAGCAUGAAGAAGAGAUGGAGACUCAAUAACUACACCAAUAUGUGUAGUGGGGCGAAGAUGAUAAAGACCAUGAGACUCACAUCCGGUGCCAAUCACCUGUCUCGAACUCUGGUCAUGUAAACAAACAAAAUAUUUGUUAAAAGAAAUAUCACAAUCAAGAGAACGAGUUAGACGACUGACAAAUAAUAGGUUAAAAGGAGACCUAGGGACAUACAGAACAUUAUGAAUGGAUAAAAAAGGAAAAGUUUUAACACUCCCAAUACCAUGAGCUAAAACUCUAGAUCCAUCAGCCAUUGUAACAGAGGGUAAAGGAUUCGGAGAGGACAAAGAGGAAAACAAAGAUUUGUUACCAGUAAUUUGAUUUGUGGCUCCCGAGUCAAGAACCCAAGAGUCAAAAGAAGAAGAUGGACUCAGACCAAUAAAAGAUGUACUUGUGUGUACUAUAGAUGCAAUGGAACUAGAAGGUUGUUGAUCCUUAUACCAUUUGACAAAUUUACUGAAAAUAACAGAUUCAUCACUGAUAUCAGAUGAAGGAGGAUCCUCAGUAGGUGAUUGUGACGAAGAAGUAGUCUGAACAAUUGCAACAGAUUUAGGAGGGCGGCCAUGCAAUGCAUAACUCCUGUCAAUCGUGUGACCUACCUUGCCACAAUGGUUACACUUGAGUCGUCCUUUUCCUGGUUUGUGAGAGUGAUUGCAGUCAUGACAUUGAGAUGCCAACGUAAAGGAAACAUAUGUAUCAUCAAUGGGUCUACUAGGUACACGCAAAAGAGUGGAACAAGUAGAAGUCAAAGUGGGAACAACAGGUGAACCCAAAAUCUGAUCACGAACAUGAGAAUACUCAUCAGCAAGGUCGUGCAAUGCUAGCAACAUGAAGAACUUUGACUAUUGCUCUAUUUCUUUAGCAGGAGGCAAUAAUUCAUUAAACUCAUGAAAAAGAGCAUGAUUUUUCCCCAUAUAAUCAGUCAUAGAGUCCUGACGCCAAGGAGCAAGAACAUUGAGAAGAUCAUAACAAACACCAUAAAGAUGUUGAGUAUCAUUGGUAUAUAAUAAUUUAGCGUGUUCCCAGAUUUCAAAACAUGUUUCAUAAGAACGAAAAAUUUGUUUUAAAAAGGGAUGAAGGGUACCCCUGAGAACAAUGCAUAAUUGAGCAUCAACUUUCAACUAAUGGGUAACUGUAGCGGAAUCAAUAGUUGUCACAUUCUGAGUAAUAUGAUCAAGAUACCUUUGACUCUUAAGCCAAAGUUUAACGUCUGAUGCCCAAGUUGCAUAAUUAGUACCAUCUAACUUAUCAAUAGAUAAAUGCACAUUGACAUAGUUAGCAUAUAUGGACGAGUUAGAAGCCAUGAACAAGCAAGAGAGUACAAAACCUAGAACUCGAAAGAGGCCCAAUCAACACAGUCAGGUCAUGGUGAGCCCAAUGAAGGUGGUCAGCGAUGGCAACUUCUAACAGCGGCGACGGUUGUAGUGGGCAGGAUCAACGAAAAAAAAAAACUUUAUGCUCUAGAUACCAUGUUGAAUAUAGUGAAAAACUAUAUUUGGGAUUAAUCUCCCUUGUGUUAAAUACACAUAGGGUUCUCUAUUUAUAAUAAAAGAAAUAUGGGCUAAGCCCAAAAUAAAAAAAAGAAAUAAUAACAAACUAACUAAAAGAUAAAUAAUAAAAAUAAAAAAUAAAGAUAAUAUAUCUAACACUUUCAAUUAAAAUUUAAUAAAUAAAUAAAGAUUAAUAUAUGAUUAACUAUGAAACAAAAAAGUAAGAUAAAAAAAUUUAUUUAUACAUUAAAUUAAAUUUAUUUAAAUAACAAGUACUAUAUAAUUCUUUUCACGUACACGUUUUAAAAAAUUAAAAUAUAAUAAAAUUAUUUUUCAAGUUAAUGGAUUGAAUUAAACAGUUUUCAUAAAAUUAAUUAUUAAACUUUAAAUUAUAUAAUUUCUUAUUGCAAUAUUCUUCAUUUUAAUUAUUUAUUAUUUUAUAAUACAAAAAAUAUUUUAUGAUAUUUUAUUUACACCUCAUUUUCAUUCCAUUAAUAUAUAUGAGAAAUUAGAAUGCAUUGUGGUUGGAAAAUCGUGAUUAAUUUAUUAAAUGAAAUUAAUUUAUUUUUGUGUUUAAAAUUGAAUUUUUAAAUUAUUGGAGAAAUUCAUAGGAGAAACAACUUCUCUUUAAAUAAAAAAAAUACUAAAGUCAUGUAAACAACUUUAAUCGAGUAAUUUUUAAAAAAAGUAAUCAUAUAAAAACAUAAAAAAUGUUAUUUUAGAAGUGAUAAUAAUUUAAAAAUAGAAGACUAAUAGAGGUAUUUCCUUGGACUUAAGAAGAAGGAGUUCUUACAUAGAUUUGGAGUGAACAUAAAGAGAGGAUAAACACUUCAAGAAAGCAAGAACUUAGGAGUUAUUUUUGCACUUUUAUUUUCUUUAUUUUUAUCACAAAACCUUUGUGUUCUUGUAAUUUGUUUAGUUGAUUUCAUUUGUUAUUUGCUUGCUGUCUUGGGAAAAUGUCUUUGGUACAAUCUCAUCUCAAUGGUUAAAAUUGUGUAAUAGUUUAGUUUCCACUCUUAGAAGUGAAAGUGUGUCAAGUGGCUCUUAAUGUCAUUUGCAAUUUCACAUAGGAUCGUUACUAUACUUGUUUACAUAGCAUUCAAUUCCUUGCAAUUUCACAUUACUAUACUUGUUUACAUAGCAUUCAUUCCUUCUAUUUUCCUUUUAUACAUUGUCUUGUUUAUCUUUUAAGUUUUUGUGGUACUUAGGUUGUUUGAAAACAUCUUAGAUAAACCUUUCUUUGGUUUUAGGAGCAUUCUUUUCAUUUGCAUUUAGAAAUGUUCUGGAUGAUUUUUACUUAGAAGCUUGGGUAAGGGUAAUCUAAGGAAACUCUGGCUAGGAAGGACUUGGUUUUUAAGCUUGUCCAUUGUGACUAACCUCUCCUUCUUGGAAGCUACUUGGAACAUUCUUACUAUAUUGUUUCUCUUUAGAAAUCAUCCACCCAAAAAGAAAUUUUUACUUGUGAAAAUCAUUUCAUUCAUAGUUGUGAAGUGUUUUGAAAACCUUUGUGAACUCUUUUAAACUUCACAACUUGAGUAAACAAUCUCAUCAUUCAAGUGUUCAUGGUAGUAUAAGAGAUAGUCAAGAGGACUUACAUCUUAGGUAUGACCUUACAAAAAAAGUAAGCAAGUUAGAGAGUAUGUUUAUUGAGUUUAUGAUGGAAAAAAGAGAGAAAAACAACAAGUUGAGUCAUCCAAUAGAAGAAUGUACACUAGAGAAACAUUCACCUCUCAUAGUAGAAAUGAGCUUCAAAAUAGUCACCAAAAUGAAAACUUCUACCAUUCUAGUUUGGAUGAUCGCUUUUGUGAUCAUGAUCAUUUUUAUUAUAGGUACACUAAGAAUGAUUUGCGUUUAAAAGCUGAGAAUGACAUUCCACAUUUCGGUAGAGAAGUUGAUCUGAUGUCAUACUUAGCUUGGGAAGAAAAGAUUGAAAAACUUUAACCAUUCAUCAUUAAGUGUAGUAAGUUUCACAUAGUUUGGUUGUGUUCUUCUAUAUUUUUUUAGGCAUGCAUAUGAUUGGUGGUAUCAAAGGCAAAAUGAUGUGAAAAAUGGUACCAAAUCACCAAUUAGAGAUUGGAAUGACCUGAGAGCUUGCAUGAGAAGAAAAUAUGGUCCAUCUUCUUUCCAGAGAAAUCAAGAGCUUAAACAUGAAAAGAGAGAACUCAUGGAGAAAGAUAUAUACAGAAUGUAUUAGAGGUUAAAAAGUGUUCUUUCUUAAGGAGAAUGAGUUUGAAGGGAAACAUGAGAAGCUCUUGAGGGAUAAGGAAAAAAAGAGAAAUUGAAAAGAAGAAAGAGGAACAAAUACAACUAGAGAAAAAGUUAAAGAGAAGGAAGCUAGAAGAGAAAGGAAGAAGAGAGAAAAGAAAGAAAAAGAAGAAAAAUGAGAGAAGAGAAAAGGGAGGAAAGAGAAAAAAAAAGAGAAAGAAGAAAAUGAGAGAAGAGAGAGGGAGGAGAAACAAAAGAAAGAGAAAGAAGAGAUCGAGAGAAGAUAAAAGGUAAAGGAAGAAAUCCUGCUCAAAGAAGAACUCCUACUCAAAGAUGAAGUAAUACUCGAGACACCUUGUUAAGUCUCUAAAUUUCCCAAUUUUUCUAUGUUAAUACUCUUCUUUUAGGAUAAUUUAGCUUUUAAUUUUUUAGAAUUAAGAUAGUUUAAGGUAAUUAGGAUAAAAAUAGGUUUUAAAUAGAAAUAGUGUUAAUUUUACCUUUUUAGUUAAAUAAAAUAGUUUUUUUUUUAAUAAUUAGGUAUUUUCUCUUUUAGAAAAAUAUUCAGAAAAAUAAAUAAUACUCCUUUAGUUUUUGUAGGCUUUUAUUUCAUCUUUUUGCUUUUAACCUUUCUUCAUUUCUUCUCUUUUUACAGGUUAGCCCUGGUCAAAGGGGGGCCAAAAAUUGGUCAAAGUAAAUUGGGCUGAUUGAAGCUAUAGAAUUAGGCUGCACAAUUACUAGAAGAACGUUGCUCUUUGCACCUCCCCACUUGCUCCCUCCAUCUCCCCAUUCUUUUUUUACCCUUCAUUCUAUUUUUCUAUUCCUAAUUUAUCCUUUAAUAAAAGUUUAUUUUUAGAAUUAAAAUUUUAUAAUUUUUACACUCCUGCAUAUAACCUAUUCAUUGUCUUUUUUCUUUUCUGAUCAUGUUCUCAUUCUUAUUCUUUCUUCUUAAGAAUUCUUUCUCUUAUAUUUGUGAGAGUAUAGUGAGUAAGAGGUUAUUGAAAUAAUUGAUAGAGGGGUGUCAAACUUCAAUAUUUAUGUGUUGCUUGAAAUAAUUAAAAGAAAAAAGGUUAAGAAAGGAAAAGAAAAAGGUUAUUUUUGUAAUAAAAGAAAAAAUGAAGAAAGUUGGGGAGGUAGAGGGUGGAAACGAGGAGGUGGUGGGAGUAACCCCCUUACUAGAAUUACUGAUUGGAAUUGACGUUGUUGAAGCUGACUUGGAGUUAUGCUGAUUUAAGAAGUGGGUCGCUGAUGUACUUGAGAUUGGGCCAACAGAUUUGUUGUGAUGCACUUGACAUUUGGGCUUAAGUUAGACGGCGUCGUUUUGGUGCGUUCUGGCUACAGCUUCUUGGGGGUCUGAGAUUCGUAAAUCAUUUUGGCAAAAUGAAAGAAGCCCUCGAGCAUUUGAGAAAGAGAAAGGAAACCCAUCAGCUAGGGUUCGUGAAGAAAAGAAGGGUUCAGCUAGGGUUCGUGAAUCAGCAAUGAGAAGAAGAAGAAAGCAGCAGUUCGUUAUCUGAGUUGGUCGGAAGCAUGUGCGGAGCUUGAAUAGUUGGAGACCAGGUUCAGAGUUAGUUGAAGGCCAAACGAGAAGCUUCUGAGUUAGUUUGUGAUUCCCCUCAUUUUCCCUUUUUCUCUCUUUUUCUGUUUUCAAUCUUUUCUAUAAAAGGAAGUCUUUGUAAUGAACAAUAUACGUGCACUGGGUGACAGGCAGUGUACUUAGACUAGGUUUUUGCAUUCUCUCGCUUUAGAGUAGAUAGUGGUGGGUGACAGACAUCACUUGUAGGGUUUACAUUGCGAUUCAGUUUUCAAUUCUUGGUUUAGUUUAGGUUUAUCAAGCUUUUCUUAGAGAUAGAACUCCACUCUUUUCUCCGGAAGUCGGAGAUGAUCACAUUGGGUAACAGACUUUGUGGAUAAUCUUUGAUUUAUGGUAUCUAGUAUUUUCAUUUCAGCUUGCAAUACAAAGUUUAUGUUUCUGUUUGUUCCAAUUUACAUUUCUUUGAUCGCCUUUCAAUUCAAUUUACAUUUCUUGCCUUUGAAUUUACUUUUUCAGCAAUUUUAUUGAUUAUGCUUAUGAUUUAGGUUCUUGCAUUGAUUCCAUUCUUUUGAUACUGGUUUCUGAAUUUGAUGAUGUGUUCAUAUUAGAGUUAACAUUUUGAUUCUGUUUCUUAUUGCUUUUAGAGUAGUUUUAUGAUGUUCUUGAUGAGUGAUAUGAUAUAUUUUUGGAUUGUAUCAAUAUUGGGUUGAUGAAUUGAGUGAGAGUCACCAUUUCAAGUCCUGCAAUAUGGACUCAAAGACCCUAAAGUGGGCUUUAUUUUACCGGAUGUCUUCUUGAGAGUGACUGAGACUCUUUUCACUAAAUCAAUAUGUGUUAAAUCUGAAAAUUGUUUUCAAUUGAAUUCCUUGUAUGAUUCUUUGCUUAGUUGGUUUGUUAGAUGAUAGAUUUAGGAAAAUUGCUUCAUUCUUGUUUCAGUUUUGUAUUUUUAGUAUUGUUACCAUUUGAGAUCUUUUUUGUCUUGCAAUUUUAAAUUUUCAUUUGUAGAAUUAGGAAUCUCACGUGUUUUGUCCCUGCAUCUAGAAUUAAGCAUUUAGUUUCUUUAUUUUUUUUUUAUGCAUCUGGUUUUAGUUUCUUUAGGUUCAAUAGUUAAAUUUCUUAGCAUUAAUCAUUUUAGCAGAUAUAAUCAUGCAUUUUCAUAUUUUAGAUUUCAUAAAUUUUUCUUUCCCCACCUAGUAAUAGUAAAUAAGUAAAAUAUGUUUUAAUUCUACAAAUUCUAAACUUAACAAGAAUCCAGUCCUUCGAUUAGACCCUAGGUUACCCCUAUACUACAUUAGUCGGGAAUUUAGGUUUGUUGAGCUUUAAUGCAACUAAAAAGCCUUUCAACACACCUCCUACUCUCCCAAUCAUAAUUGAUUCAAGAGUUCUAAAGGGAGUUUUCCAAACUUUGAACUCUUAUCUUUUCAUUAAUGAUUCUCAUUUCUUGAUUUCAACCUUUACUUUUGAAAGUCUUUUACCUCCACUAUCACUUCCCAUUAUUUUUAACUCCUCAAUAACCUUUGAAAAAUCACUCUUUGAGUUGUUGUUACCUCACAAGUUACAAAUAACUCAAGGUGAACAAAAAUAUUUUUGUAAGUUAGGUCUUAUAACUUUUGAAUAAACUAAAACAAGAGAUGUCCUAUACUUCAAGUGUUUUGAGAGAAGGAACAUUUAUUUUGAAUAUCCUCCCAAAAGAACAUUGCUUUCAAAAGAUCAACAUACAAGAAGCUUGGAUAACUCUCAUUCUUCACCUAGUGAAGAAAAAGUUUUAGAUUCUGUAGAAAAUAUAAAUUUUCCUCAUGAAAAUCUUUUCAAAAAUAAAAGGCCUUAUUUCUUUCUUCUUUUGUAUAUGCUUUUAUCACUAGAACAACUUUUUGAAAUAAAGGCCAACAAUACUUUUCAUAAAACCCUUUCCAAAAACAAAAGACCUUCUUUCUUUGUUCUUUUGUUUAAGUCUAUUCUUUUAAUAAUACUCCGAUUUGCUAUUUGUAGUAGGUACAUUUUUUAUCUAGGAGGAGAUCAUUACACAAAAAGUUGUGCUUCCUCAAAUAUCUUUCCGAUCUAGGACAAAUCAUUUUUAGGAGGGAGCGUAUGAUGGAAUCCGUUUUGAGAACUAAAUGGAGAUCCAUGAAGGGAGCAUCAACUAAAGCUAAGGCUAGGAUAUUGGAAGAAGAAGAAGGACUUUCAAGCUUGUUCUUGUGUUCCCUUAAGCCUUAGAAGACAUUAGACCUCUCAUAAAGAGCCAUGGUCAAAGAAGAUGGAAGAAGAAGAUGGAGCUUGAAGGAUUCUAGUCUUAUGGACGGUCACAUUUUAGUCUUCUUCUUUAUCUUAAAACACAUUUUGUAAAUAUGUAAUAUAGCUCCUUUAUAGGCCUUGUAUUUGGCCAAGACACUUUGUUUAGCUUUGCUUAGAAGGUUUGAUGGCUUUAAGAGUUAAAAAUGGGUUAAAAAUGGGUUUUGGAAGGAGUUAGUUGCAAGGAGUCUUUGCAUUAAAUGCUUUGACUAAGUUAGUUACAAAGCAUAAAGCUUCUCACAUUUAAUGUUUAGCCUCCUCAUUUAAUGCUUAGGCUCCUCAUUUAAUGUUUAGGUUUCUCAUUUAAUGAUGAGGCUUCUUAUUAAAUGAUGAAAAGGCUCCUAAGUACUUCAUAUGUACUCUAGCCUUCUCUUUCACCUAUAAAAAGAGAGGCACCCUUUUGUAAUCCUUCUCUUCUUAAGUUCUCAUCUUAUGAAAUUGUCUUCUUCUAAACUUCUUCAUAAAUUCUCCUUAAUGGUUGGCUUAACUUCCUAGAAAGACAUCUACCAAGACCAUACAACACCAACAUCUUCAUCUCUUCAUAUCUAUUUUCUUGCGCUACUUUUAUUGAUCAUCAUGGAGUCCACCCCUUUAAAGAAGCUUCCCCAAUUCAUCAUGGAUAUCAUCUUAUGUUGAAGGAACCUCUUCAAAGCAAUCUCCAUCAUUAAGC
rnacentral:lncRNA from 1 species